rnacentral:lncRNA from 1 species
CUUCCAAAACCAGUUUGCAGGUGCCGAUGAUACCAUGCAGGUGAUGCAACCGAGCUCGAGGAGGAGCUCGAUGAAGAUCGUGUUCUUUGUGUUGUUUCGUUUCUAGUUGAUCAGUAGUGGAGCCUUGUCGGGGCGAUCGGGGAUCUAGCAUUAGGGGUUGUCUUCUUUUCUUUUGGUUCCGUAGUCGGACCGUGAUUGUAUUCUGGAUGCUGUAAUGCUAUAUUUAUGUAUUGUGUGAAGUUGCGAUUGUAAGCCAACUCCUUAUCCCUUUCUUAUUCAGUACGUGGGAUGUGUAAAGAUUACCCCUCUUGCGACAUGCCUACAAUGCGGUUAUGCCUCUAAGUCGUGCUCCGACACGUGGGAGAUAUAGCCGCAUCGUGGGUGUUACAAGUUGGUAAUCAGAGCCUUCCCCGACUUAGGAGCCCCCUGCUUGAUCGAAUCGCUGGCGUUGUUAAGUCUAGAAAAAUGUUUUGAGUCUUAUAGGAUUAUAUAUAUCGGAGAGUAGGAUUCUUUUUACUCCUCAGUCCCUUUGUCGCUUCGGUGAGGCCUCCUGAAGUAGAGUUUUGACUUUUCUCUCUUCAAAUUUCACGAAUGUUUUUUAGGAUCACGCGGGUAUCUUGGAAUCGUUCUGAUGGUUUUGUGACGAGAACAUUGUUCUAGGUGCCUCCUAACAUUUAGGGGUUGUGGCAGUGUCCCGGGGAGUUGAGCUCAGAGGUGUUGUCAUCACAAUUUUAUCGUUGCUGUUCUGGAAUACCUGAGUUUCGCCGACAUCGAAAAUCUCUUUUAUGUAGUUGUUGGUGAGAUAACCUCGACGCCACCCAGUACUGGGGUGGGAGUUCGGGAGUAUUGCCAUAACUCGUAUACAGGAUGCUUUUGGAAGGUUGAGGUAAACGAUUUCCGAAGGUUUCUUGGUUAUGUGUUCAAGGAUGGAUACAGCUGGAUGUAGGAUUUGCUAGUUUUGGGUGAGAUAUUAUGCUUCCCCUGUAUCCCCAACACCUGAUUGCAUAACCAUAAAGUUUCGAGAGUUUAUAAGUGGGAAUUCAAGUAGCUCCUAGGAUAUCUUUCCGACAGAUGUAUGAUAUGAAAUUGGGGUUCGACGCCUAGUGGUCCGCCUAUCCACGGUUGGUUUUACAGUGGUCUCGUUGUGUCUUAAAGAGUCCUUGGCUAUGCUGACUUGGGGACGCUUCGUAUGUCAUGUGCACUGCCUUGUACAUGAUGGUGCUGUACGAUCGAGCCCGUGUGGGCCCCACCACGAAAACUUCGGACGAAAUUUCUAUCAUAUGUUUGUUCCGGCUUAUUUUGCAAGCCAAUCCUUUGUUCUGCUUUGAGUUGUGGUAUUCGAGUUGCUUCAAUGUCAAGUGUUGAUUCCAUACCUUCCCUAGGCGGUGUUCUCAUACUUCUAUGUGAAUACUAAUCUUUCAUGAUAAUCGAGAUUUUCAUGUCAAUACUUUUCAACCGGCGUGUUUCUCUUCAAGUGGAUCCGAUCAUUUCAACAUCCGCAAGAUCAAUUAUCAGUUCUUCUCAACGGUGCUCAUUUCAUCUGUCCCAAGCUGCCUUUGUUUUUCCCGCCCACCCACCCUUGUUUCUUUAAGGACUCGGAUUUCUUUAUCAAGUAUCCACACUACAAAAAAAUACACAUCCGUGACAUUUUGGGUCGAACGGAAAAAAAUUUAUGUCAUACAUAUGACACUUCUAUGACGAUAAUUGUGACAAAACCCGGUAUCAUCAUAGAUGUGGUGGGCUCCUACUUCUAUGACAAAAAAUCAUGACAAAAAAUGGGUUUUUAGUCCUGGGCGGGCCGGAGACACAGCUGCAUGACAUUCUUUGGGUCGUCCAUGACGGAAAAAACCAUGGUAGAAGCGAGGGCGAGGAAAAUUUCAGGGAGUUCCCGGUUACGGUGGGAGGUCGGGGGCCGAGCGAUGCGCGUUUCUCUCGUACACAUACGCGCGUGUGUGCGAGGCGUUGGCUCUAACUGAACCCGAGCGAGGCGUUGGGCUCUAACUGAACCCGAGCGAUUGCACUGCAGGCUACGCGUUACUGAACCCGAGCGAUCGAUCAAUGGCUGUUAACUGAACCCGAUCGAGCGAUUCCUUCACUACUGGUGCUAACUGAAGCUGAUCGAUGCUGCCUCUGGAUGAGCAGUGAGUGUUGCGGGGGGGUUUGGAUGAACAGUUCCCGGUGGGGGUGGAUGAACAGGACCCCGAUCGAUCGAGCCGGUUGGGGCUGGAUGAACAGGACCCCGUGGAGGGCUGGAUGAAUAGGACCACCCCGUGGAGGGUAGGAUGAACAGUAGACGGUGGAGGGCAGGAUGAACAGUAGCCCGUGGAGGGGUGGUUGAACAGGAGCCCGUGGAGAGGGCUGGUUGAACAGUAGCCGGUGGAGUAGCGCGUGGUGGAGGCUGGAUGAACAGGAGCCCGUGGAUGAACAGUCGCAGGUGGAGGCUGGAGGAGGUCGACGGUGGAUGAACAGUAGCUCAUGGAGGCUGGAGGGGGUCGACAAUGGAGAUGAACAGUAUCCCGUGGAGUCCCGUUUGUGGUACGCCACACCCCUUCCGAUGAACACGACCCCCGUUUCGACCGUAUCGCUCCAACACAAGUCUGUUUCGUCCGUUUUGCGGUACGCCACACCCCUCCCGAUGAAGAGGACCCCCGUUUCGACCGUAGGAGGUCCAUUUCCUCCGUUUUGCGGUACGCCGGGCCUCGUUUCCAUCGCCUGUUCCGUCCAAGCCCUCCCGAUGAACACGACGCAUUUCGUUGCCUCCCCAUGAACACGACGCAUUACGUUGCCUCCCCAUGAACACGACGCAUUCCGUUGCCUCCCCAUGAACACGACGACGUCGCUGUUUCUCCGUUCCGACCCAGCCAUGUACACGAGCCCUGGCCGUAUGUAUGCGCGAGUAGGCGUUCGAGACCCCGCCCGUAUGUACACAUACGUGGCCGUAUUUUCUUUCUUGCACCCUGGCCGCUGUACGUACGUGUAAAUGCUACGUGCGCGCCUCUACUACGACACGUGCGCGCCUCUACUACUACACGUGUGCGCCUCUACAUCGACCAGUAUGUACGUACAUGUUCGCGACAAGAAUGACAACGCUACGUACGCUUCGACUAGGUGGGUCCUAACUGUCACGCACUUCCUUGCCUGCGAAGAUGUAGCUGGUGGGUCCCAACAGUCAGGGGGCGAAUCGUUUUUUUUCCUGGACGCACUUCCUUGCGUGCGAAGAUGUAGCUGGUGGGUCCCAGCAGUAAGGGGGAAAUGUUUUUUUCGCGAAAUACGGUGGCCCGUCCGGUGGGUCCCGCUGUUAGGUGGAGGAAUAAUUAUUUUGAACGUAAUAAGGAGGCACUUCCUUGCUGCGGCCGUGGACCCAGCUGUCAGCCUCUCCACGUACUGUCCACGUCCGAUGGAAGUCGUUCCUUGACCACGUUGACCACGCCGCGCCGGGAGCACCAGGGCGGUGGACGACGGCGAGGCCUAGGAAGGGGACGACGCGGAGCUGGGGAAGACGCGGCAGUGGAUGCCCACGCGUAGAGGAGUAUGAGGGUUCACUGGUUUGCUGCGGUGUGAGGCUGCUAUCGCCGUAGAAUAACAGGGGGUGUGGGUGAGUAGAGGGAUGGCCUGGCCAGCGGUGGGAGUAGUAGGGGGCGGUGAGGCCUCCGCCGCAUCGCAGCCGGCCACGGGAGGCAGGAGCACGAGGCACGACCGACGCUGGUUUGGGCGGCUGGAGCAAGAAGACCAGAGGUUGAAGAAGCACUGCCGCCGUUGGAUGGACAUCGUACGGUCACUUGAGCUAGAAUCGUGCAUAUUGACUAAGUUGACAAAGCCCUCCGUCCCCGUCAACUUAGUAGGCCCACAAGUCAGCCUACCACUAUAUUGGGUCCCAGCUAACAGGGGGAGUAUUCAUUUUUUUGUGCGUAAUAAGGAGGCACUUCCUUGCGUGCGAAGAUAUAGUUGGUGGGUCUGAGCUGUCAGUGGCGGUACCAUUUUUUCACGAAAUACAGAGGCCCUUUCGCUGGGUCCCUGAGGUCAGGUGGAGGAAUCAUUAUUUUGCGCGUAAUAAGGAGGCAUUUCCUUGCGUGCGGCCCUGGACCCAGCUAUCGGCCUCUCCACGUAAAGUCAACUUCAGAUGCAUGUCGGUGGUUGACCACGUUGACCAAGCCGCGCCGAGAGCACCAGGGCGGUGGAUGACGGUGAGGCCUAGGAAGGGAACGACACGGAGGCAGGGAAGACUCGGCAGUAGUUUCCCACGUGGAGGGGAGUACGACUAUACGAGGGUUUACUGGUUCAUCUGCCAUCGCCGGAGAAUAACAGCAGGUGUGGGUGAGUAGAGGGACGGCUAGGCCAGUAUGGGAGUACGGUGGGGCGGUGAGGCCUGCAUGGCAACAGAGCCGGCCGCAGGGAGGAGGGAGCAGGCAGUCCCGCCGGCGCCUGUUUGAGCGGCUGGAGCAGGAAGAGCGGAGAUUGAAGAAGCACGAUGGCCGUUGGAUGACCAUCCAACAGUCACUGCUUGUGCGUCAACCUUUUUUUAGGAAAGCCUCAAAUAUGUGGAAAACAGCAUACAACCCAUUUGCUAAUUCUUAAGGUUUUUUUGGAGCCCAUAUUCUUUUUGUUAGCAUUACAGCCCAUAUUGUGGCCAUGGUUAAAAAAUUAUACAAAAUUUUGCAUAUUUCGGUGCGGUCCGAACUGUUUUUAAUCCCGAAAUUUUGACUCACAUUCAAACUGGUUUUAAAAAUGAAUGUAUAUCAAUAUAAAAUCCAACAAAUUCUCCACGCGUAAAAAUUAAUGUAAUUUAAAAUCUCGAAAUGAAAAAAAGAUAUUUGAAACUAAUUGCUGGUUUGAUGUGUUUUAAAAAUGUACAGCUCAUUUCUCAUUACUGAUGGGCCAUUUUCUCGGCCAGCCGAAUGAAAGCUCUCCUCGUCUUGAAAUAUUUGCAGCCCGACAGCUCUGACAAAGCGACUUACUUGGCAAAUCACAAAAAAACUGGGUUGUGGCCGUGGACCCAGCUGUCAGUUCAUUUGUUUUUUUAGUCCAUUUGGUGGGCUAGGUGAAACAAUGAUGUAGCAUCUAUGCAGCCCAUUUAAAUCCCAUUUGCAUUUUUCUCGAAAGCCGUGGACUUGCUGGGCUGGGUGAAAAUAUCAUGUUGGGCUAGACGGAGAAAUGUUAUAAAAACAUAAACACAUGAUUGCACGUCAGUAAAAUCUUUGCAAGCUUAUGUACACAAUCACUAGGAGUUAACUUGCCAAGUUAUAUAUAAACAAUUAUUAUUAUUAUUUUGUAAGAACUUUCAACUUACUAAAUAAAAUAUCAUUUUAAUUUGAUGAGUUAAUAGUAGGUGGGGUAUUAUUAUUGUUUAGGCUAGACGUGGGACAGUUGAGUUGGUUCUAGGGGAAAGUACUAGGAGAAAACUCAGUUUACAUCGAAAAAGAAAGUGGGAGAAAAUUCAGAGACCUGCUGGGUCCACCUGAGGAGGGGAAUAUGUUGGGAGGAAGGAGAUUCAAAGCACGACAGCCGAGUGAACUAGUUUUUUUUACGAACAAGUGAACUAGUUUACAUACAUAAGCAAAUUGCCACACAAAAAAGCAACCAGGUUAAUGGGUUCUUAAAAGAAAUAUUUCGGACAAAACAGAUAAUUACGACACAUAGGCUAAUGCAUGAAACACUCACAUCAUAAAGGUGCUUAUAAAUAGAUAAAGUACAACAUCUAGACCUUCCUGGCACGCUUGAUCAUAACGCUGCGGCUGUCCGUGUACUCAUCGGUUACAGGAAGCUGACACGCCCUCAUGUCCAAGAUCUGCAUGUACAUGUCGUAGCAUGCGUAUGCGCCCUUGGCCGCGUAGGUUAUGUAGGCUAGAUUCAGAGGUACCUCCCACAUGUUCAGGUCAUCUUCUUUCAUGUUGGCAUAUCAGGGGUCGAUGAUGGUCUCAGCGAGGUCAACCAUGGAGUCCUUCUCCUGCCCAUUGCUGAUUAUCUUGUAUUGCUUCUGGAUGUCGACAAGCUUGUUGCACCAGAUGGCCGAAUCGUCGCGUUCUUCCUUCUCUCCACCGUAGCGAAGGUGCAGUCGGCGCUGCCGAUGAAAUGGGCGAAUGCUCCAGAACCUGGUGCAGCCAUAGGACUGAGGAGAGGUAGAGCUUCACCGAGUCCGUAUCGUUGGUGUACAUCACAUUCAACUUGGUGCAGCCAUAGGACUGAACGGCGAACUCAAAGGGGGACUCCUUGCUGAAGUCCAUAUCCAGUAGGCUCACCCCUCGGAUCGCCAUUGGAGUCUCUUCGAGUGAACGAGUGUGUAGGCGGCGGCGGCAGUUCAUUUUUCAGCUCUUGGGGAACUGGAUUCAACAGUAAGCUGAGUGUGUACAGGCGACAAUAGUUACUACCCCUCCCUCGUCCGCUGCAUGCCCGGCAGAAGAUGCGCCCUCGGCCACACGUACUUAAAUUUAGUGGUCACUUUACUUAAAUUUAAUUAGCUUUAAUAGAAAUUUCUACUUAAAACAAGCAAUGAAGUCGCUCGUUCUAUUAGUGCCACAGGAUCAACAUGCACAACAAUUAGAAUUAUUAUUCUCAGGACGCACACGAUCAUCACAUUUGUCACACUUUCACAAAGAUAAUACUACCGAGUUUGAACUGCUUGUUAUGGUUGUUGUCCUCUGCAUCAUCAUGCCAUGUUUCCCAUCUUGCAAGAUUCAGAACCAACAAAUAAGAUCCAAAUAAUAAGUACACCAAAGAUGCCUGCACAUCUCAUUGAUUCCUAGCUUGCAAGAUUCAGAACCAACAAAUAAGAUCCAAAUAAUAAGUACAACAAAGAUGCCUACACAUCUCACUGAUUCCCAGCUUGCAAGAUUCAGAACCAACCCAUUAGAGCCUUUUGAUAAAGUGAAUAUCGGGAUUAAAUCCAUCUUGGCUAGCCAUGUCAUACAAUCGAAGAACUUGGCGAAUGCUCUUGACCGUCACAACAUCUGUAGUUGAGUAUUCCUGUUUGCACAACAUGUUUGCACAUCACAAACAAGGAGACAGGAGAGCAUGAUUUUGCUUUAAUAGAGGCCUCCUUGAACUCAACCUCCAGCUCUACUUGGAUGAGGUCUGCCUGGAGUUCCAUGAUUCAAUUCAUGCGCCUUUUUCUGUAGUUCACCUGAAAUGAAGCAAAGAUUGCAUCAUUCAGCUAGCAAGAAGUACUUGCUCUUGUGAGCUGGCAGGUUCUUCUUUAGUAGUUGCACUAAAAUUGAGGAACAUUAAGGUUGGCUGUCCGGCUCAUGUAAGGUGCAACUAUAAUUUUCUUAUCCUUUUGUGCAGUUCCACUAAAAUAAAGUGCCAUUGUGGUGACAGUGACGGCUCCAUCUUGCAAAGGCUAAUAAAAUGUUGCACGAGAUUACCAGCAGAACUUGACGGAGAUUUUGGAAACUCCAAUCACCAUUUUGUGUAGUUCCACCAAAAUUGAGAGAUGUUCCCCACGUGACAUUUUAGUUGAACUGCACAAGACACUCAUUCCAAAAAAAGUGUUUUCUGGAGUUCACCAAAAGGUCACAAUAGCAACAAGGUGAAAUGGAUAUCCCUAUCUGCACAAAAAGAUAGAAAGUAAAUAGUUGCUGGUCAAUAAGAAUAUAUGAAACAUAUACAAAAUGAAAAGAAGCAUCUUAAUUAUGUUCAUGGCAAUCACACAAGGACAAUAGGAAUUUUAAAAUGUCAGCGAUGCUUCAUGUUAUCAGAAGCAUUACGAUCAACAAUGAGAUUCCUCAAAUAUGGGAUUGCUUUAAUGGUGGCAUUGCUUGUUUACCAGAUGAGGGAGUCCUGGAUUAGGGGGUGUUCGGAUAGCCGGACUAUACCAUCAGCCGGACUCCUGGACUAUGAAGAUACAAGAUUGAAGACUCCGUCCCGUGUCCGGAAGGGACUUUCCUUGGCGUGGAAGGCAAACUUGGCGAUACGGAUAUGAAGAUCUCCUACCAGUGUAACCUACUUUGUGUAACCCUAACCCUCUCCGGUGUCUAUAUAAACCGGAGGGUUUUAGUCCGUAGGACAACAUACACAUCAACAAUCAUACCAUAGGCUAGCUUAUAGGGUUUAACCUCCUCGAUCUCGUGGUAGAUCAACUCUUGUACUACCCAUAUCAUCAAUAUUAAUCAAGCAGGACAUAGGGUUUUACCUCCAUCGAGAGGGCCCGAACCUGGGUAAAACUUCGUGUCCCUUGUCUCCUAUUACCAUCAGGCCUAGACGCGCAGUUCGGGACCCCCUACCUGAGAUCCGCCGGUUUUGACACCGACAUUGGUGCUUUCAUUGAGAGUUCCUCUGUGUCGUCACCAUCAGGAAGGAUGCCUCGCCUCGUCUUUAAAGACGGCACCGUUGCUAAGGGAGCUUUGGCUGUCGGCCAAACCAUCCAGUUAGGUGGCUUUCUUAUGACCGCAUGUUCGGCUUCUGCACCGACGAUGACCUCUCGAGCCAUCGAAAACAAUCUUCAUGUCAACUCGGAACUCACCGAGCAGUUAGAUCCAAUAGAUAUUUCCUCCAUAAAUGAGCUCUUGGAUCGCUUCGCCGCCCUGGGAGUCGCUACGGAUUACGACCAGAUUGGGCCUAAAACCGAUCUGAGAGAGAUUAACUCUCCCCAAGUCACCCAUCACGUUGCCGUGGUAGACGGGCAGUGCGGCGACCCUUCAUCUAUCUUAAGGACUCGCUAUGUCCGGAUUCCGGAUCCCUCCAAGCCGGAUAACCGCGGAGGGGAGGAUAUCACUCAAGACCUGAACUUAGAGUCAGGCGACAGGCUGGAUUCAUUAGACAACAUCCAGGAAUCCAAAUAUUCGAGUUUAGAAAUUCCUCGGCCUCUGAGCCUUAGAUGGGGUGAGGCUUCGGAUUUAAUUCCACCCACCCACCCCAACAUAAGUGAUCUAUCCAAAAUCAGGCAAGAACCCGAUGAAACAGUACAUCAUUACUGGACCAGAUUCCUCCUGGUUAAAAACAGGCUAAGGGACUGCCGCGAGGAAGACGCAAUCUCAAUCUUCUGCAAUAACUGCACGGACAAGGGAAUACUCAACGCCAUAAGUCACCGUCAUAUUACAUGCUUCGCUGACUUGGCGUCCAUUGUACGAAAGUACUGUGCGAUGGAAAGCGCCUGGAAAACCGAAAUAAAAUUUUGGGACAAUCCGGCCCUGAAUACAAACCCAGUCCCAAAUAAAAGGGUGCAUCAUCACCAGUCACCCAGGUCAAGCACUAAAAAGCAAAAACCCUCUACAGGGCAUGGAACCGUACUAGAAGGGUGGCUUAAUGGACCCUGUAAAAUUCAAAGUACAGAGGACGCCACACCAACUCACAGCCUCAGAGCAUGUUGGAUACUCCGGCAGGUGGCCAAAAUUGGCGAAAAUCUCCUAAUUCCGGAGGCCACAAAAAGCCACCCUAGAGACACCAAUACGGUAUUAAUAGUCUUCGAGACUUUCGCAUCAAAUAAUAUGCGAAAAAGAACACACCGCAGCCUUGCCGAAGUCUACCAAGUAGCAACAAUAAACCCAUGGAGUGACAUGGCUAUUACCUUUAACGCCAGUGAUGAACCUAAAUUCCGAACAGCCUGAGCACCAGCCGCAUUGGUCCUCAGUCCAAUAGUGGACGGCUUUUGUCUUACCAAGGUACUCAUGGACGGCGGCAGCGGAUUGAACCUCAUUUACGAGGAGACUCUUCAAAAAAUGGAAAUAGACUAGAACCGCAUUGAGCGAAGCAGCACAACCUUUAGAAGAAUAAUCCCCAAUCGGGAAGCGCGCUGUAUAGGAAAAAUCACAUUAGAUGUGGUGUUCGGCACGCCGGAUAAUUACAGGUCCGAAGAGGUCACGUUCCAGGUGGCUCCGUUCUGCAUCGGUUAUCACGCUCUGCUAGGGCGGGAAGCGUUUACAAUCUUCCAAGCAAUACCCCAUUACGGGUACAUGAAGCUCAAGAUGCCCGGGCCUAACGGGAUCAUCACUCUUGCUAGUGAUCCGGACAUAGCACUCCGCGCCGAAAACAAGACAGCCGCACUGACCCUCGAGGCACUAUCCGAAGCCCUAGCGUCUAAGGAGCUGACUGUGCUGCGCUCUACGGUGAAUAGGGAUGAUGUGGUACUCGACAAAAGAUCCAAGUCCACCUCCUUUAAACCGGUGGACAAAAUAGUCAAAUUCCAAGUCCAUCCAACGGACCCCAAUAAAACAGCUUCCAUCGGGGCACAGUUAAACCCUGAUGUCGACGCCGCAUUGCGAGAGUUCCUACGAGAGAACUGGGACAUUUUCGCCUGGCACCCUUCAGACAUGCCAGGAAUCCCACGCAGGCUGGCCGAGCACAGCUUAAAUAUCCAAACAGGAUUCAAACCUGUCAAACAGGCUCUUCGCAGUUUUUCUAAACCUAAGAAACAGGCCAUGGGAGAGGAGCUAGCAAAGCUAUUGGAGGACGGUUUCAUCAGAGAUAUAAAACAUCCGGACUGGCUAGCAAUCCUGGUGAUGGUACCAAAGAAGGACAAAUCCUGGCGCCUGUGUGUUGAUUUUAAAGACCUUAACAAGGCUUGCCCAAAGGAUCCCUUCCCCCUCCCCCGCAUCGAUCAAAUUAUCGACGCUACCGCGGGACACGAUUCGUUGUGUUUCCUCAACACAUAUUCUGGCUACCAUCAAAUCAAGAUGGCAGAACCAGACCAAGCUGCAACGGCAUUUAUCACACCAUAUGGGCCAUUCUGCUUCAACACGAUGCCCUUCGGGCUCAAAAACGCCAGCGCAACAUAUCAGCGCAUGAUUCAGACACGUCUGGUAAGCCAGAUCGAUAAAACAGUGGAGGCAUAUGUAGAUGAUGUGGUCGUCAAAACAACACAUGUUGAAUCUCUAGUAGAUGACUUGAGGCUCACAUUUGAUAACCUCCGAACAUACGACAUCAAGCUCAACCCGGAAAAAUGCGUUUUCGGUGUUCCAGCCGGAAAGCUCUUGGGCUUCAUUGUAUCCGGUAGAGGAAUUGAAGCAAAUCCAGCCAAGAUCCGAGCUCUAUCGCAACUGGAUAUCCCAAAGGACCUCAAACAAAUACAAAAGUUAACCGGAUGCGUGGCGGCUCUAAGCCGCUUUAUCUCCCGCUUGGGAGAAAAGGCCCUACCCCUUUACCGCCUCCUUCGGCGCACCAAACACUUCAAAUGGAUGGACGCAGCCAUGGCCGGACUCAACAAAAUAAAAUCCAUACUGGCAACAAACCCAGUCCUGGCCGCGCCAAACAUUGGCGAACCAAUGCUAUUAUACAUUGCAGCAACACAUCAGGUUGUAAGCGCAGUGCUCGUCGUCGAAUGAGAAGCGGAUGGACACAAAUCCCCCCUUCAAAAGCCGGUCUAUUAUGUGUCCACUGUCCUCACUCCCUGCAAAUCACGGUACCCGCAUUAUCAAAAGAUUGCGUACGCAGUAUUCAUGGCAUCCCGGAAGCUGCGAAACUACUUUCAAGAGUGUUCAAUAACAGUAUCCUCGGAAGUACCAUUAACAAUAUUAUAAACAACCGUGACGCAACGGGCCACAUUGCGAAAUGGGCCAUCGAGCUCCUCCCGUUCGACAUAACUUAUAAGCCACGACGAGCCAUCAAGUCACAAGUCUUGGCCGACUUCGUCGCAGAAUGGACGGAGGCCGAACUCCCUAAAGAGUACAGCACAUAUUCAAAUUGGAUCAUGCAUUUCAACGGCUCCAAGAUGUUGGCCGGACUGGGGGUUGGCGUCAUUUUGACGUCCCCCAUAGGAGACACAGUUCAAUACGUACUACAGAUUAUGUACACGAACUCCAACAAUGCAGCCGAAUAUGAGGCCCUUUUACAUUGUCUCCGGAUGGCAGUAUCCAUGGGCAUACAACGCCUAGAGGUGCGCGGGGACUUGAAUGUCGCAAUAUCCCAAAUAAAUGGAGACUUCGAUGCCAAGGAUCCAAAAAUGGCAGCUUACCGCAACGCCGUCCUAAAAAUGUCAGCUCGGUUCGAGGGGCUUGAAUUUCAUCAUAUAGCCCAGGAAAAUAAUCAGGCGGCAGAUGUCCUGGCACGCAUCGGCGCAAAACGCGAUGUAGUCCCCCCCCCCCAACAUCUUCUUGGAAAGGCUGUUCAAGCCAUCCGUGGCAUGGGAAGGGGAGCCGAGCAAUAACAGGCCGGACCCAACUGCACUGCCCGACACCGAACAAUCUGACACAAUCGGAGGCUCUGCCAAUGAAAUAACACCUUCAGCCCACGUAAUAAUGGUCGUCAUCACCCCGUGACAGAACCAUUCCUCGCCUACCUUACUAGGCAGGAACUCCCCGAGGACCAAAAUGAGGCACGCUGCAUAGUGUGGCGAUCCAAAGCCUACAGAGUCCACGAGGGAGAGCUUUAUAAGAAAAGCACUACCGGAGUCCUUCAAAGGUGCAUCUCCGAAGAGAAGGGGCGGAAUCUCCUGGCUGAAAUUCAUGCCGGACUCGGCGGUCAUCAUGCUGCAGCCCGGUCCCUUGUAAGCAAGGCCUUCCGUACAGGCUUUUAUUGGACGACGGCCCGGGCAGACGCUCAGGCCUUAGUCCAACGAUGCACCGGUUGCCAGCUCUUUGCAAACUAAAGCCAUAUGCCACCCACCGCCCUCCAAACCAUCCCCAUUACUUGGCCCUUCGUGGUCUGGGGGCUUGACAUGGUUGGACCCCUUAAAGGCGGAACCCACAAGCAAAAAUGCUUACUGGUCAUGGUGGAUAAGUUCACCAAAUGGAUAGAAGCCAAGCCUGUUAAGACGGCCGAAUCCGGACCGGUGAUAGACUUUGUAUCCGGGGUUGUACACCGUCACGGCAUCCCCCACAACAUCAUCACUGAUAACGGCACGAACUUCAUGGCUGACGAGGUAAAACUCUGGUGCAAAAACAUGGGCAUCAAGCUCGAUUAUGCUUCCGUCUAUCACCCAUAAACUAACGGCCAGGUUGAACGUGCAAAUGGUCUUAUCAUGAGCGGCAUCAAACCCAGAUUAGUGCGGUCCCUCAAGGAAUCUAACACGCACUGGGUAGAGGAGCUCGACUCCGUACUCUAGGGGCUGCGGACCAUGCCGAAUCGCACCACCGGAUACACACCAUUCUUUAUGGUGUACGGCGCAGAGGCAGUUUUGCCUUGUGACAUAAUUCAUGACUCACCUCGAGUGCGCAUGUACGAAGAAAGAGAAGUCGAGCUCGAUCGGCAGGACAGCUUGGACGCAUUGGAGGAGGAGUAUGACAUGGCAAAAGCCCGUUCCGCAUUCUAUCAACAGCAGGCUCGAAGAUACCAAAGCAGAGAAGUACGGGCCAAAAAUUACAACAUUGGCGAAUUAGUUCUACGACUACCGGACAAGAAAAAGGACAAACUCAAGCCCAAGUGGGAAGGUCCCUUCAUAAUUGACCAAGUCCUCACUGGUGGAGCGUACCACCCACAGGAUGCAUCGGAUAACCGACUCGAGCCAGACCCAUGGAACGCAGCCCGUCUCCGAAGAUUCUAUGCCUAGCGUCGGACUCUGUGUUCGUCUCCUUCCUCUGUCCAUUUUUUAUAUUUUCUGUCUUACAUUUCUCUUCUCUCUCUCUCUCUCUCUCUCUCUCUCUCUCUCUCUCUCUUAUAGCCUCUAAAGGCUCAUAAAGUGACGCACUAUCCGCGCUCAUUAAACCUGGGGGCUUCUUUAAACAGAAGCUUAUUCAUACGGGCUUCAUGCCCAACACAUGUGUCACACUUCCACAGCAUGUACCUUUUAUUCACCAUUAUAUGCAUCGAUAUGACUUAAGUUUUGGCCAAGCUGGGUUGCCUCGCUCCUGUGCUUACCCCUAUGUUCCCGAUUUUUCGGCUAGGUGGUAAAGGGAGAACCUCUGCGAUUGUUACUGUCGAGUCAGUCGGACAUGUACCUCAGACUGGGCGAAGCCAAAAGCUAGCGUUCUUAAGGGAAUAUUCGGUCGGUGAACUAAAGAUGAUCUUUUUUUAUUUUUAUCUAUACGCCCCCAGAUGUUUUUCCUGCGUUUCUUUUUGCAGUAUGGACAUGCACCUUAGGGCAUGCCUCCUAGGGAAAGGAACCCCUAACGGAACUAUUCUCCCUGGAAGAUGUUUCUUACUAACCAUGUAAUAUAACAUACCUAGUCGGGCACUUGUCUGUUCACGCCCUAAUGACCCCUACGCCUAGUCUCCAUGCAUUCCCCGGUUCCUAUAUAACCGCAUGGGAAUUCGGACACACUCCGGACCGUCAGGUCCCGAGGCUGAAGUUAAAAGGUCGGCCAUGACAAAUGAUCUACAAUCCGGCUAGAAGGCAUUAUAAAUGUCAAUUAAAUUACAUAGUCAUUUUGACUGGUUAUAUUCCUCUUCAAUACCAUCUAACAGGCUGUCUAAUUUACAGUCCUGCUGGGAAUACUUUGCGGCCAACUCUACUUGGCUGUAUACUAAGCUUACAGGGAUCUCCUUCCCAUCGGGCCCUACAGGACCAACCUCGGCCAUGUGGUUGGGGUCAGCCUUUGCGUACCGCGUCUUCACCAUGGCCCAGGCCUCACUAGCGCCUUGACGACAGGCUGAUAUCUUCCACAAUCGGAAGCGCCGCCGUGCUCCCUUUAGCUUCUCCGCAAGCUCUCCAAGACCUUCGGGCAUGGAGACGGAUGGCCACAGGGCCUGGGCGACGCCUCGCAUCACCUGUCGAACUCGAUCGAGCAGUUGUGAGAGCUCGGGAAGAAGGUCACCCGUAGAACCGGGCAUCUCCUCUGCAGGACGACCUGUUAGCACACCUACAGACAUUGCUCUGUUAGUCGACUUCCCCGCCGAACUUUCUUUCAAAAGGUUUGUUCAAGCACUUACUAAAUAUGCCGCGCCGAAGCCGCUGAUUCUCCUUCACGGAGUCUGACAGCUGGGCACAAACAUCUUUCAGCUCGACGCCCAGCUUGGUGUUGGCAUCUUGGAGAUCGUUCUUCUCCCCCAUCACCUUUAUCAGCACCCUCUCACCAGCCUUUAGCUGGCGUAGGAGGUGUUGCCUUUCCGGAUUCAAUCCAGCGCCAUCUGCAAUUUCAUUUGUCAGAUUCGCACCAAAGCCGUGCUUCGCAAAAUACUUAUCUUUCACAGUGUAUAUUACCAGAGGGGGUCUCCUUAGGCUCCCCUUCCGCGGCUAGUGCAGCCUCCAGUUGGGCUUUGCACUCUUCCAGCUCCUUGGACAGUAGGGAAUUCUUUUCUGUAAGAACCUGCAUAUCAAAUGAUCCUUAAAUCAGUUAUUCUAACUAUUUCAAGUCUCGGGGGCUACUGCUACAUAUAUAAUUACCAAAAUUUUCUUACCCGUAUGUCUUUUACAUAUUGCUCCGUGGCUCUGGCUAGACCAUUUUGAGCGGCACGGAGGUGCGCAUCUCCCGAGUUGAAGGCAUCUAACGCCCCUUGGGAGAAACAAGCGUCGUGAAGAAUUGUCCGACGACGCCUAUGGUUCAUGGCACUCUCCACCUCAGAGUUGGUGGUAGACAACCCGUCCACAUCUUCCGUCGGAGGAGCGUCGGGCGCGCGCCUUGCGUUCACCUCCGCCUCCGGACCAGGUUUUGGAGCCUGGCUGGUGGAGGCGCGAUUGGCAGCCUCUCCGGGUAUAGUCCGGUGAGGUCUCUUUGUCCUGAAGAGAGCAUGAGUGUCAAUGUGCCUCGAAGGUAUAACACCUGGGAUAAGGGGGCGCGCCAUACCUUUGCGCUGACGCCUCGGUCCGGACUGCACUUCUUUUCGGCCCACGGGGCCCUACGGCCCCUCACUGGCUUGUCGCCGCAGGUUCGGCCUUCCGCCUUAAAAACCUCCCCUGCAAAGUUCGGUUGCAAUCAGGAAACUGAACACGAGUGGGCGGACACCUCUUCGGGGUACUGGGACUUCGAUCUCAGGUACCUAGGGCGUCAGGAUUAGCCCUGGGUAAUCGGCCGUAAUGGCCACCAAGGCGUUGUCCUCGCUCAAUUGAUGGAACACUCCAUCAAUCAGCUCCACAGAUAUGUCCGGAUCCUCUUGAGAGGCCGGGUCGAGGGACCGUCCUGGGUCCUCGGGUUGUGGAGGAGGGCUGCUUAUUUCCUUAACAGCCCGGCGCAGUUCCUGCGUUAAAGUCGUCAGACUGAAUAUUUAACAAUGGGAAUACAAAAUGGAUGGACAAGUAAAUACGGCCGCUUACCCAGCUCGGGGGAUUGUGCAUGGAGAAUCCACCCUGAGGGUUGAUGCGGAGAAAUUCCUCCUCUUCUCCCUUAUACAAAGUGGAAAAGAUCUUUAGCAGAGCGGCAGCUGAAUCCGGCCCCUUACGACCGUAGCGGGUGGUGUCGUCCUCCCCGUUGAAGUCCCACAUGGGGUGGCUUCUAUACUGAAGCGGCUGCACCCCCCGCAUAAUGCAUUCAGCCAUAACCCCGAUCAUGGUUAGUCCGGAAUGGGUUAACAAUCUUAUUCGGCCCAUCAAGUAAAUGAUGCCCCUGUCACUUUCCCUCUGAGGGCUCCGUGGGCGCCAGCUUAGGCGCUUCUUUAAGGGAGCACUAUUGAAUUCAGGGAGGCCAAUCCGGACAGGAUCCGGCAGCGGGACGUCUUCUAUAUAGAACCAUUCCGAGGGCCAAUCUUCAGACGCCUUCUUUGGGGUUCCGGACAGAUAUCCGGUCCUGGUGAUGUGCCACACUUCGGCUCCACCCACUUGAUACAUUGACCCUUUCUUGGAACGGGGCACGAGGCAAAAUAGCUCCUCCAUAGUCCGAAAUGAGCUUCAACACCCAAGAACAGCUCGCAGAGGGCUACAAAGCCCGCGAUAUGCAAUACUGAGGCAGGCGUGAGAUGAUGUAGCUCGAGGCCGUAGAACUCCAGCAGCCCCCGGAGAAAUGGGUGGAUUGGAAAUCCGAGCCCCCUUAUUAAGAAAGGGACAAGGCACACCCGCUCUCCUUUGGAGGGAUUACGGGCAUUCUCUUCUUGCUCUCCGCCAUUGUAUACAGCAAGACCGGCUCGAACCGGGACCAUAUAGGCCGGGGGGAGAAAUCCCUUGGUCUGGAGCAUCACUAGCUCACUAUGCGGGGUGGAACAUCUCUCCCAAUAUCUAGGCUUAGGGCUGGAAGGGCGAGGGGAGGAGUUGCGGCGGCUGGCCAUGGUGGAAUGGACCUUUGUCGGAUGCGCUCUGAUGAACACUCACGGAGGGGAGAAGGUGUGGAUUGGACCUAAAUCCUCGUCCCCUUAAAUAGGGCAGCUCAUUUACGCGGCUAGGGGUGUGAAUGUAAAAACACUCAGACUUUUCAUAUUCGUUUAACACGUGGGAAGCGACCAUUAUUGGGCGUAGAAGCCAAGGAGCGCAACGUCUACAAGAAACCGAACUUUAUUCAAACAGGUACACGGAAUUUGGAGGAGAACCCGCCUUGCAAUGCCGAAGACAAUCUGCGCACCGGACUCAUCGUCAUUGAAGACUGGUUCGGGGGCUACUGAGAGAGUCCUGGAUUAGGGGGUGUUCGGAUAGCCGGACUAUACCUUCAGCCGGACUCCUGGACUAUGAAGAUACAAGAUUGAAGACUCCAUCCCGUGUCCGGAAGGGACUUUCCUUGGUGUGGAAGGCAAGCUUGGCAAUACGGAUAUGAAGAUCUUCUACCAUUGUAACUGACUUUGUGUAACCCUAACCCUCUCCGGUGUCUAUAUAAACCGGAGGGUUUUAGUCCGUAGGACAACAUAAAAAUCAACAAUCAUACCAUAGGCUAGCUUCUAGGGUUUAGCCUCCUCGAUCUCGUGGUAGAUCAACUCUUGUGCUACUCAUAUCAUCAAUAUUAAUCAAGCAGGAUGUAGGGUUUUACCUCCAUCGUGAGGGCCCGAACCUGGGUAAAACUUCGUGUCCCUUGUCUCCUGUUACCAUCCGGCCUAGACGCACAGUUCGGGACCCCCUACCCGAGAUCCGCCGGUUUUGACACCGACACCAGACACAGUAAAUCAACAGCAGCUAAAGAGUUGGUUUAAGGGCAUGGGACCGUGGGGACACUAGGACACUUAGCAGCGUAAAGGAGCAACUUAUCAUACUGGGGAAAACAGCAGGAGUGCCAUUGUACUAUGUGAGGGCAGCAAAUCUAAUCCUGGAGACCUUUUACUAUGUGAGGGCAGCAAAUGUAAUCCUGGAGACCUUUUACUAUGUGAGGGCAGCAAAUCUAAUCCUGAGACCUUUUACUAUGUGAGGGCAGCAAAUCUAAUCCUGGAGACCUUUUACUAUGUGAUGGCAGCAAAUCUAAUCCUGGACAUACUCUGUUGACUUGUCCACCAGCCGCCACUUUCUAUCCUUUUUUCAACCAAUAAUAGAUCUAUUCCUUAUCCAGUUUGUACUGUGUUAUCCCAUUGUUUCCCUUUUCAACCAAGAGACCAGUUGGGUAUCCGGUCUCUACUACUUUCACCAUAUUAUUUCCUCUUUGAAUCAAGUCCUAGAUUCAUGCUACAACUUUCCCCCCUUUCUACAUUGUUUGAACAAAGCCCUAGAUUCGAAUCCAUGAAGUAGCUUUACCUCUAAUAAUACUAAAAAUUUAGGUGGCUUUGGAAGAGCUGAUGGGAGUAGAAAAAGAUGCACAUGCAGACACAUGGGGAGCUGGGGCAGUAGAGCAAGGCCGCUUUCGAAGAACUUAUACCUGAGGGUCGCCGGGAUGUCGGCGGCGGCUGGUCGGGUCUGCGGACAAUACGGCAGGGAGGAAGAAGGGUUGGAGGACCUCCCGAACAGACCAUGUGUCAGAGAGAACGACACGGGUAGAGGAUCGGGCCCCUCCGACAGCUGUGGGUUUCCUCCCUCGGCGGUGAUGACCGUGUGAACGAUGCACCUUUUAGUCCUCUACACACACCGGCCGAAGGGAUCCAACCGGAUCUAUGACUAGCGGUGAGCAGAGAGAAAAUGUCGCUACCGAUGUCUUGUUUAUAUCUGGAGAGGAUGAGAGAAUGAAGAGAGCAACCCUAGUAAAGCAAGCGCUCAGGCCCCUGCGUCCAUAUAUAGUGGAGUGAUUAUCUUUUUUCUCUCCAUAACAAGCGUUUCAAUUUGUGUACGUGGCAUUAAAGAAAAGAAACUCUCUAUUUAAGGUGACUACUAUACGACUCCUACUUACUACUAGUAGUACUAUAGUAUUGUUCACUUGUGCUCGUCGCCCCUCCAUUCAUUGAACAACCCCACGGGUGAAUAAACAUAUAGUAAGUACUGUAUUUAUAUAGAAUGAACAAGCUCGAACUGUUUUCGCGUAGUUAAAAGUUGAGGGCAGGGCUUUUCCUGGGCAGUACGUGUGACAGUUUUCGUGUAGGGCCCGAAGACUAUUUUAAAUUUUUUUAAAAAACUUCGAGACGGCCACAUAGCAUGGAGCCGACCCCAACGAUUUUAAGCUUACAGGCACGGUACACACUAUCCUAGACUACUAUACACAUGAAACUGCCACAUGAGCGCCCGGGCUGCGCUUGACUCUUCGGGAAGUCGAACAAUGAUGGAAUACUACUACACUGGAGGAGUACUACAGUUCGCUUCUGGCCAUCUGAUACCGAUUGAACUGCUACAUGUACACUGCAUGCGGGAGGGAGAGCGUGUAGCGAAAGCUUCUCCUAGUCUUGCUAGCCACCACGCUCAUGGGCGAGGGAGGGACGCUCCUGCCUUUGCGUGUAUGACAAGUGGGCCCUACAGGUGUGUGGCCAACCUGUCAUACAGCCAAAGGCAUGUGCAGUUAAGUCCGUGAGGGAGAGGAUAAUCAAACUUCUCAUUGAUUUACGAGUUGACGCAACACAUCAAAGCACUGCACUCGAUAUAUUUCAAUAAUUUGCGUGUGUGACUCCCAGAUGCAGAGGCCGGGGGUCAUCAUCCUCCUUUUCGAGAAAAAAUAGGCACGUGUGUGAGAGGACGAGUGCGUGCGUGCACCUCUUCUCUUCCUGUAUAACGUACUACUAAACUCAGAGUACAAGUUUUUGUGGGUGGCACGAUGGUGCGUGCGAGAAGUCCCGAGAGAUAGGUUUAAUGCAUUAAUUGCAAUGCAUGCAUGCAUAAAGUACAUGCAUUGGUCAAUUUUCUCUUAAUACUUGCAUGCAAUGAUUUAAUGCACCUUGGAAUCUGAACAUGUGUUGGGGACAACCAAAUUGAGCCAUAUAAAAUGGAAAAACUAAAAUUUUGAGAUAAGCCCUAUAAAACCGGAAAGGAGGGAGUAGAAAAAGAAGUACUCCAUCUAGGAAUAGUGCCGCACUUAAAAACUAGAACCGUCAAUAAAUUUUGAGCUUGCAUCUCGUCACAUUCCAAAUUACUCCAUGCUAUAUUGAAUUGCAAACAUGUUCACACCGAUCACAACCUAAUUGGUUUCCCACUUAGGAGCGUAUUAGUACUCGGUUAUAAAUACUAGUAUGCCAAGAUGACUGCACAUUCCUCCUCAACUCCUCAUCCACAAAAACAAACAAGUCAUUCAGCAUCCUUCCCUUGCGUCUGCCAUGGCCAGCUUGAGUUCUGGGUCAAGAGAUUACCACCAGGGAGAGGCGAGCAUGGAAGCAGAAGCACGAGAGAUGUCCCGCCUCACUGCGAGAGCAGCCGACAUGUCCCGCCACGCGGAAGUAGCAGCACAGAGGUCUCGCCGUGCCGCUGAAGCAGCACGGAGGUCCCGCCGCGCCGUUGAUGCAGCAGACUGGUCCGGCCGCGCCGUAGAAGCAGCAGAGAUGUCCCGCCGCGCCACGAAUGCAGUAGAGAUGUCCCGCCGCGCCGCGACAGCCUGGGAAAAUUUCUUGCGGGCACGUGACGACUGUUAUAGGCGCAUGCAUGCGAUCAUCCAUAGCCAGAUGGAUCAGAUCUCCGGCUCGGCGAGGUUGUAGGACGACAUGAUAGCCUCGUUUGAACAGGCUACCGGCGUCGUCCGACAACUAAGGGAGGGCAAUGAGAGGCUCUGGGCCGAGCACGACCUGCUGAGGGAGAAGAUCGUCUGAAGUGCAGACCUGUAGGAGGAGACUAGUGCCUUGUUGAAGAAACUUAUGGACGAGAAUGACAUGCUCCGCAACGAGCGCUAACGGCUGGUGGAGGAAUCCAUGGAUGUUCUCAAGCAGCGUCUUGAGGACACGAAAGAGCUCAUUGCCGCUCGCCGUGGAGACUAGUUUCCUGGUUUCUUUUGAUGUAAUAAUCAGUUUAGGAUGUGGAUUGUGUCAUCAGUUGCGAAAUGUUGGGUUCUAGCGCGGAUGUUUGGCCUUUGUUGGCCUCUUGAGAUGUUGUGAUUUCAAUCUGGUAGCUUUUAGUCCUUCGUGUUAGGUUGGAGUUGUGCUGAACUUCUUGUGAAUUGUGGUGGUUUUCAAUAAUAGAAAUCGGAAUGGGCAAGCCCUUCUUUGAUCAAAAAAAAACUUUAAUCGUCCUUAUAUAUUCCUCAGUCUUGCCAUAAGUCGCAGUAGAUGCUAUAUAGGUCCGUCGGAUCUUACAUCAAGAUCCGUGCUUUCAGAUUUUAUUUUUUUCUCUCUUAAAUCUCAGUCGAGUGAGACAUAGCCACGCCAUUAAACAGAGGCUCAAGCGCCAUUAAUGGAGACCUUGGGAGAGGGGUGGACGGCAGAUGGAGGUCAAAGGGCUCUCCUCUCGAUAAGCACACGCAGGGGUCUGAUCGCACGCCUCUCUACUCAAAUAGCAACCCUGCAUGUCGCCUCCUAGCUAAUAAAAAAGGGGACGCGUGGCGGCACGUAAAUGGUACUAGUAAGUAGAACGCCCACGGUUUCAAUAAUACUUGUGUUUCCGAUUGUAACGUGACAACACUUCUUCCAAAUUGACUUUGUUGAUUGUUAAUGUGUGCACCUUCGCAAAUCGGACUGCAAAUUUACCACAGCAUGUUGGUGCCAUGUCAUGGCACCAAGCCAAGUUUCAUUAUUUUCAUGCAUGUUUUGGAUUUACAGGAAUUAAAAAACUAAGUUUCUCAAUGUUUCCAACCCAGCCACGACGCCAGAAUUUUGAAUUUCAUUCCCAUUUCUUGCAUGGAACCUAGAAAUUUACCCGAGGACAUACAUGUGAUUUUUCAACCAACUUUGGUGCACUGGAACAUGUGCUUGUAUUUCAAAUUUGAAUUAUGCACACAAAGGUGACACGUUCCCUACCAGAACCAUGAGCCUUCUUGAGAGAAGCUCCGGUUUGCAAGAAGCUUAUACCAAAAUUUGUUCCUAUUCGGCCAAUUUUUUUUACCACGGCAUGGUACUACCAUGACAUGACACCAUACCAAGUUUCAUUAUUUUAAAACCAUGUUUCACAAUGUUAUCGACCGAGCCACGAUGCCCAGAUGUUUGAAUUUUAUUCUCAUUUUUUGCAUGGGACCUACUCCCUCCUUCCAUCUAUAUAGGGCCUAAUGUGUUUUUCAAGACAGCCUUUGACUAUUGACAAGAUUAAUAGCACAUGAGAUGUAUACUAUGCAAAUUAUAUUAUUGGAAGCUCCUUUGACAUACAAAAUUGAAGGUAUGCUUUGUGUAAGUUGCAUGUCAUAUAUUAUUGCUCUAACGUUUGGUCAAAGUUAGCCUCGAAAAAUGCAUUAGGACCUAUAUGCAUGAGAGGAGUCGACUUUGAGAGAACGUGUUUGUUCGAGAGACACCAAGGAAGACUACUAUAUAUCGAUGGUUCAUGUAGGAGGGAAUUAAACUAAGGGAUGGUCUUAUUGGUUUCGGGGAUAUAGGGGAAGAGUGAGAGGCGGGGGGUAGCUAGAAGGAGAUUGCUAAGUGUGAGUGUGUGUUUUACCCAUCCAGGCGGAAGUUAUGUACACAAAAGAGGAGAACGGUUCGAUGUGGCGUUAGGAUUGAGGGUAAUUAACUACGUAUGGAGACAUAGAGACCUUGAACGUGCAUGUGUGAGAGGUAUACAUGUAUACGUGGGAUGUGUGUGUGUGCGCACGUGCAUGAUCGAGAUAAAAGAAAGAAGACAUAAGUCAUAAGAUCAACGACAUGGGAGAGACGGAUCAGUAUGACCAUAUGCAUGCAUGUGAGAAUGCAUGGAAGAAGUCCCGACAAUUGAGCAUGUGUUUUUGUCUUUAAGAGAUAGUGGCGUGGGCUGGAGCAUGCAUCUAUGGCGAGCAGAGGGAGUGAGGCGCAAUGAUUGUGCAAAAGAGACCAACCUAUAAAUGCAUAUGUAUGGAGAGACAUAUAUAGUGUGGGUGAUAGGAAGCAAGACUCCGUGCGAGAAAGAAAUGUUGAUGGAGAAACUACAGAUAGAUACUGAAAGUGCGUUAUAUCGACUAGAGGGGGGUGAAUAGGCGAUUUUUAUGAAAUUCUUCACUGAGGAAUUUGCCGGUGAGGAAAUUUCUUAGCGAAGAACUAAUAGCAGCAGAAUAAGUACUCAAAAGUAAACAUAACAGAAUACAAGCAUAGUCAUCAUGAUGAAAUGAAGACAGGCACAGAGUACAGGAAGUGUAAGCACAGGAUAACUCAGGAUGAAGACAAACAGACUGAAGAAAUUGAACUGAGGAAAUUGAGAAAGUCUUCAGUCAAAAUCUUCAAACACAGAUAUGAACAAACACACAACACAGUUAUGAGGAAAUGAAAGAGUUGAGGGAAUAGAACCAGUAAGCUUGGUGAAGACAAUGAUUUGGUAGACCAGUUCCAGCUGCUGUCUUAGUUGUACGCCUGGUUGGAGCGGCUGAGUAUUUAAACUCGAGGACACACAGUACCGGACACCCAGUCAAGGACACUUAGUCCAAGACACCCAGUCAUCACCGUAUUCUCCUUGAACUAAGGUCACACAGACCUCGUCCAAUCACUCGUGGUAAGUCUUCAGGCGACUUCCAAACCUUCACAAACUUGGUCACCCGGCGAUCCACAAUUCCUCUUGGAUGCUCUAGACCAUGACGCCUAACCAUCUGGAAGAAGCACAGUCUUCAAAGGUAACAAGCAUCAGAUCCACUCAGGAUCAAUCUCUUCAGUGAUGCUCAAUCACUUGGGGUUUGUAGGUGUUUGGGUUUUGGGUUUUUGGUUUUUCCUCACUUGAUGAUUUUCGCUCAAAGUCCUCAGAGGAUGGGUUGCUCUCAAAUGACAAGUGUCAGUUUCUCUCGGAGCAGCCAACCAGCUAGUGGUUGUAGGGGGAGGCUAUUUAUAGCCUAGGGAGCAGCCUGACAUGAUAAGACAUAAAUGCCCUUCAAUGAUAUGACCGUUAGGUGGAUAGAUAUUUUGGGACAGUUGGCGCAUAGCACAACAACGGUCGGAAAUUUGAGUAGCAAAAUCCUCAGGGCUAUCAAGUUCCUCACUGUGUAGGCAAUCCGCACUGGCGAAUUCCUAACUCCUCAGUCAGGAUAAAUUCCUCAGAGACCAGAAGAACUUCGUCUCUGUCACUGAAGAAAUUGCUGAACUGUAUGAGAUUUCCAAUGGCUUCACUCGAAGGGAUUGGUAGGUGUAGGAUUUUGAAUUGAGCAUCACAUGGAAAUUUUUCCUUAGUAUUUCCUCGACCCCCUUUAACAGUACGGUGUUUCCUAUGACUCAAGAAGGAGAAAAAAAAACUAUGAAAAUGAAAGUCUUCAAGCUUCAUAUUCCUCGCAUGAAUAUCAAGUCUUCAUGGACACACCAAUUUCUUCACUUUCAAAGUCUUCAUGAAAGUCUUCAGAAAUACCAAAAUCUUCAAUCGAAGAUAUUCAUUUUUAGGGGUCGACUUUUCCUGUAAAUAUCAAACUCCUCAUAGACUUAUAGACCUGUGUACACUCACAAACGCAUUAGUACCUUAACCUAUAAGUCUUCAAUACACCAAAAUCACUACGAGGCACUAGAUGCACUUACAAUCUCCCCCUUUUUGGUGAUUGAUGACAAUAUACGUUAAGUUUUCAACGGGGAUAAACAUAUUAAGUGUAACUACUGAUAUUGAGGAAUUUGAUUGCAAGAUAUAGAAGAACUCCCCCUGAAGAUGUGCAUAGUGAGGAAUUUGCCUUUGAAGCAAUGCACACUUGAGGAGUUGAAUCAUGGAUAUCUCCCCCUAUAUCUUGUAAUUCGUACACGCAUUUAACAUAUAAUAUGAAGAAUUUGAAAUGCAUGAUGAAAUAUGGUGCCUGAUGAAAUUCAGCAUGUGUGCAAUAAUAUUAAUAAGGAAUAAGCAUGCAGAAUAGUGCAUCAAAAGUAUGAGAGCGCAGUGCAUCAAAAGUAUCAGAGCACCAUCGGGUUUAAGAUUACAACUCGAUCCAAUAAAGUUUUAGAAGAACGAUAGUUGUAACUUAGAAAAAAAAUAAAAACGCCCAUAUAGUAGACCCGCUUGAAGACUAACUCAUGUAUCUCCCCCUUUGUCAUCGAAUGACCAAAAGGAUCGAAAAUGAGGACUAACGCCCCUGAAGAUAAUCAUGUUGAUGAAGGAGCGCCAACGUUGUUGGGGUCGUUUGUUGAUGUAGGGCCUGUCGCAGUGUCGUCCAAAUCUUCAUGUUCACCAGUGUCGCGCGAUGAAGAAAAUGAGCUGGCCACUAGAGAAGGAACCUGGACCUUCUUGAAUUUCUUCGGUGGAGGUGCAGACCAGUCAAAAUCUUCUUUGAGACCCAUGUUCUUCAGAUCUUCUUCACCAUACAGAUGUGACAGGAUUGCCCAGGUGCGACCGAAGACUUGAUGGAGGUAGUAGUGGUUUUUCUUCACUGCAUUGUGUGUGGCAGUCAUGUUGUGAAGAAGUGAAGCAAACUGACGCUUAACCAAUUUGUGAUUUCGAUCCACCUUCUGGUGAAUACUAAGUAGAAGUUCACGGUCAGUCAUCACGCGUGGAGCAGUGUCUUGAGGAGUGGACUUAGGUGCAUUGGCAGAGUCAUGUGUGGCAGAGUCAUCAUUGGUGGAAUAAGAUGCAGCUUUGCGAAACUGACCAUCCAAUGGAUGAAUGCCUUCAUCUAUUACAGCUGGUGCCUUGCCCUUUCCAUCAACUGAGGAAUAUGUCUACUUGAGGACUUCAAUUGGGGGCAAGUAGCUGAGGUGAUUCUAGAAAUCAGCUUUGUAGUUGAGUGAAGACCUUGUCCUGAGGAAUCUCAUAAUCCAAGGUGCAUAAGGCUUCAGCUCAAACGGAGACAGUGCAACAUUGGCCAUAGUCCUCAUGAAGAAAUCAUGAUAAUUGACAGGAAUGCCAUGAACAAUGUUGAAUACCGGAUUCUUCAUGAUGCCAACAAUUUCCUCAUCAGAUGAGUCGUGGCCUUUGAUGGGACUGAUUGUCCUCGUAAGAAUACAAUAGAUAGUUCUGGGCACGUACAGCAAUUCCUUCACGAGGAAUUUGGUUCGUGGUGCCUGACCUGGUUUCAAAGGCUUCAUCAGCACCUGCAUGUAAUGAUGUGUGAGCUCAGGUUCACUAUAGAUGCAACGAGCUUCUUCAAGGGGAGGACUGAGUGGUAGAGCACGAAGCAAUUCAGAGGCUGGUGCAGUGUAGUGAGUGUUUUCAGACAUCCAGCCCAGCACCCAUGAAUUCACAUCUUCAGCAUCUCCGAUCAUGUGCAGUGUUGCAUAGAAUUGAAGAAUCAGUUCUUCAUUCCAAUCGCAGAUGUCAGAGCAAAAGUUUAGCAGUCCAGCAUCGUGAAGAACACUGAGGACUGGUGCGAAGCACGGCAGAGAUUCCAUAUCCACGUGAGGAAUAUGCUCAUGGUAGAAGAUUUUCUCCUUGUUGAACAGCACUGAGGAAUAGAAAUUUUCUUGACUGGCAGUCCAGAAACGCCUCUUCCUAAUGCGAGCAGAGUCAUAUGGGUUGUAAUCUUCGAAGAAUACGUGCUCGCCGAAGAAAUCAUCAGCCUUGAAUGUUUGCUUGCAUGAGAAAGGAUCCUUUGGGUUCGGCAGAGGAGUGUCAGUGAGUUGCAUCACGACCUCAGGAAUCUCAAUCGCAGGUUCUUCAGGCUGAGGAAUUUCUGGUUCCUCCUCAGUGGCAGUCUGCGUCGUUGGUUGUUCAGCAGCAGAAGUUUCUUCAGCGCUAGUGGCUGGAAUUUCCUCAUGGACAGAUGCAGUGGGACGAGUUUCUUCAGAGCCCAUGUGAACAGUUUGUGUGGGGGACUGAGGAAUUUGCUGUAGAGGGGUGAACAUUGGAGAGUUUGGAUGCUGAAUUUCCCAGAAUUCAUCACUGAUUACGGGUGUGGAGCAGCCAAUGUCCACAUCUUCAUCUUCCAUUUCUUCAACGCCAGCCUCUUCAGCUGUGAACGGAGGCAUAGGCGAGGAGAUGAUAGGUGUUGAAGGGAUCACAUCCACUUCAAUUUCUUCAUCUAACGGUUCAGACGAAGCAGCAAAAGGAGUUUCUUCAUCAGAUCCGCUAGGUAUCACAUAUUCUUCAACAAAAGGAACAAGGUCCUUUGAUGGCCUGGUUGAGAUGGGAACAUCAUCAAUCGGAUUUGCAGACGAGCUUGUCAUAGGCUUCAUUUUCUUCAGAGCUGAAGAAUCUGAAGCAACUGAUGAUUUCCUUUUCUUCACUUCAGCACGCUCUGCAGCCUUGGUCUUCUUCACAUCUGAUGCAGAUGGAAGGAUUGGAGUGGAAGUUGGUGCAGGAGCAGCUGAGGAAUCUGGUUGAUUUUCUUUAGGCACAACUGAUGCAGUUGCCCUGAGUUCUUUAGUUUCUUCAGGCACACCACUAGUGGGUGCCCUGGCAAUUUCUUCAGCGACUGGAAUGCAGUCAUCAGCCCUGGAACUCACGUUAUCUCCAGCAGCCUGAUUGUCAUCAGCGGUGCUGGCAUUUUCUUCAGUAGGCUGAGCAGAUGCUUCAGCCUGAGGAAUUUCCUAUUGCAUUGGGGCUGCAACAUUGGAAGUGAAGUUAUUCGCAAGUUUCACAAAACAAACCUUGGCUCCAAGCCAAUUAGAGCAAUAUGCGUCAAAGUCAUCAGUGAGUUUCUUUACCUCAGUCUGAAUAGUGACAAGUUCUUCAGUUGUCAUAGAGAUAACGUUUUUCUUCAGAUAGCGCUCUUUCUUGUACUGCGCUUUCUUGAUCUGCCUGGCAUUCUGAAAUUUCGACUUUUCUUCUUGAAUGAAGUGGGUCAACAUGUGACUCUGGCCAGGAGUCAGCUUGAAGUCAGGCAAGGGGGUGUUGGGGUCCUUGUGCCAAUCAUCAAUGUAGUCGAGGAUCAGCUUGGGAUCCAAAAGCAGUGGCACUUCUGAUCCUUUGGCUCUAGCGGCCCUGACUUGCCUGUCUCUGAUGAUUUCUGAGAGUUCAUCAUCAUCAGCUUCGUCUUCAUCAGACGACACUUGGAAAGCGACUUGCUUCUUUUGAGGACUUGGGCGAGGACCUCGUCCAGCAGUGGCCUUUGUCUUCAGCAGUGAGGGGCCAGCUGAGGAACUUGGUGCAGCUGAGGAACUAGCUGAGACAUCUGAGGCAAUGGAGAUGCCGGCAGUCCUUUGGCAUGAGGCGAGAUGCACAUGUGCUGAGUAUUUGGUCGGAACAGCUGAAGGCUUUGGCGGAGGAGCUGAGGACUUUGGAGGAACAGGAGCAGCAUGAGGAAUUGGCUGUGAGGGGUUUGAUGAUUCUGGCCGUGAGGGCAUUGCUGAGGAGCUUGGCCUUGAGGGCAUUGUUAGUGAAGCACUUGGCUUGCGCGCAGGCUUCUUAGACAUAGCCUUCUUUGGCUUGACAGCAGAGGCCUCAGCAGAGGCAGUAGCAGUGGCAGAGUCUUCAUUGAAUUUCCUCACUGCUUCUCUGGCUUGCUUAGCCAGCUUGGCUUGGCGCUUGGCCCAUUCAUCAGGAUAGUCCUCACCGCGCUUGAGGCUGGUGGGAUCUGCUAUUUGGCCAGGUGCCAAUGGAGCUCUUGGGCAUGGAGGAUUGAGUGCGAACUUCUUCAUGUACUUAGGAGUGACAUAUCUGUACUCCCUCCAUUCUCUUGCCCAUCUCCUGUCUAUCCUCUGUUUGCGCACUUUGCGCUCAUUCUUGGUUUCCUCCGUAGGUGUGCAGUACCCAGCGUAUAUGUCAUCAGGGAUUUCAAACACUGUAUUUACCUCGGGCCUCUUUCCUCCCUUCUGUGGCCUUUUAGCAUCAGCCAUUUUCUUCAGUUGAGGAAUUUGAACAACCGAAUUCUCUGAAGAAGUAUGCAACUUUUCUUCGAGGAAUGCUGCAAAUGAGUUAAGUUGAUGAGAACCUAGUGAUUCAGCAGCUGACAUGUGUACCUGUGAACAGAGUAUAGUUGCAAGGAAUUUGGAGAGGUCAUAUGCGUUCUCAGAAGAUUUUUCAAAAAGAACAAGUUUGAGGAAUUUGACCAGAUGAGUCUUGAAGAUUUUCACUAAGCGUUCUUUGUCUUAGGUUCCGGAGUUGUAUAGAUCGAAGAUCCACACAAUUGAGGAAUCUUGAAGAAAAAUGAUGCUUAGAGAAACGAAUCAAGAACAGAUGACUUGUGAGGUGUUCAGUGUGUGAAGAUAUGAAGAAAAACACCUUUGAAGAUUUUGUAGAUAAUCAUUCGAAUCAAUGAGGGCAGUAAAAGUAACUUUUAAUUACCUUGGACGAAGAACACGACAAACUGGAGUGAGGAGAUGUGAAGUUCAUCUGUGCAGAUCUUCCACGCCCUAACUUGGCAGAGGAAGAUGGCUACGGCGGCGGCGGAGUGAAGAUGUCUGCGGUCGGCGCGAGUACGUCGGCAACGAGGUGGAGGCAGUGAAGCUCUUCCUCACCGGCGGCGAUGAAGUAGUGGCGGCGCUAGGGUUUGAGAAACUCGAGCUGGAGAGAGAGGUCGAGCGGAGUAAAAGAAGUGAGGAAGGGAAGGAGGGGUAUUUAUAGCCACGGUGAAAAAUUGCUCGCCCGAAGAAAUUGGACGAACGUGCCCCUGGCCCUUCUCAUUCGCAUGACAUGUGUCACCCACAUAGUGAGAGGUGGAGAUCGUGUUAGAUCAUGGGUGAGUGGAUAAGUGUAUCGUGGGAUGCGGAACGGUUUGGGCGGCAAAGCCGAAAAUUUAGAUAAGAUAGGUUUUAAAGUUCCAUUCGCAAUUUCUUUAGCUGACAAGGACACAGUGAAGAUUUUGAACGAGUUUCAAAUAGAAUGCACAUGAAGAAUUUGUGAACAGAUUGGGUUGAGUAUAGCAUAGAGGGGAAGGGUCCGAUCACAUUCACUUAGCAGAAAACCAACUUGAAGAAAUAGCAAUAAGUGAAUGCUGUAGAGGACAUAAACUCAUAUAUAUAUAUAUAUAUAUAUAUAUAUAUAUAUAUAUAUAUAUAUAUAUAUAUAUAUAUAGCCAAUGAAGAAAAAUGACGGGACAAGUGAAGACAAUGCAAAGUUGAAGAAUAUGAAUAAUUGAGGAAUUUCAACUUUUGGUGGUGGCGUGACCCACCGUAUAAGAAUGAUGAUUUCAGACACCGCAUACAAUUAUCGUAGGGUUCUGAGAAUCAAAUUCUUCAUUAAUUUCUUCACACUAAGAGUGUCAUUCUUCAUUGAUUGAAGAAAAACGUUUCUUCAUGUGUUGCACAUCUAAGUCAUCAAUUUUGCAUAAGUGUUAGGAUGAGUGUCCUUUUCAAAGAACAUUCGAAGAUUCUAGGAUAUUUAGCUCACACCGCAACUUGCUAAAUCUCUUCUCAUCCAAGGGCUUUGUGAAGAUAUCAGCUAGCUGUUCUUCAGUCUUCACAUGCUCAAUAGAAAUGUCGCCCUUCAACACAUGAUCAUGAAGAAAAUGAUGACGAAUCUGUAUGUGCUUUGUCUUCGAGUGCUGAACUGGGUUGUGAGCAAUCUUGAUGGCACUCUCAUUAUCACAGAGGAGAGGCACAUUCUUCAUGUUGACGCCGUAGUCCUUGAGAGUUUGCUUCAUCCAUAGAAAUUGGGCACAGCAAGAACCAGCGGCAAUGUACUCAGCUUCAGCAGUAGAUAGUGAUACACAGUUCUGUUUCUUCGAGGACCAACAGACCAAAGAUCGUCCGAGGAAAUGACAUGUACCAGAUGUUGACUUGCGAUCCACACGAUCACCAGCAUAGUCAGAGUCAGAAUAUCCAACAAGAUCAAAAGCCGAGCCCUUGGGGUACCAUAAUCCAAGUGUUGGUGUGUGAGCUAGAUAUCGAAUAAUAUGCUUCACAGCCUUAUGGUGUGAUUCCUUCGGUGUAGCUUGAAAUCAGGCACACAUGCAAACACUAAGCAUUAUAUCUGGCCUAGAUGCACAUAAGUACAAUAAGGAACCUAUCAUGGAGUGGUAUACCUUAUGAUCGAAGUCAAGGCCAUUUUCAUCUUGCUUGUUGCGGUAGAUCCACUUUGUGCCGAUGAUAUUGUGCUUGCGAGGAUCUAGACGUUUGACCAGUUCCCAGACAUUGUUGAGCUCGAACUGAUGUAAUUCUUCUUGCAUGGCCUGAAUCCACUCAGGCUCCAGAAAUGCUUCAUGUACCUUAGUGGGCUCUGUAAUAGAGACAAAAGCAUACUGCCCACAAAAGUUAGACAAAUGUGAAGCUUUUGAGCAUGUGAGAGGACCUGGCGCUUUGCUGUCAUUGAUGAUCUUUUCAACUUGCACUUCUUUUGCAAUGCGAGGAUGAGCUGGUUGUCAUUGAAGAGUUUGAUCAGCGUUUUCUUCAGCACCAUUUUCUUCAGCAUUUUCUUCAGGUGCAUUAGCUCGACGUUCUUCAUGUUCUGGAAUGAAUUCUUCAGCAGAUUCUUCAGUAGGAAUGACAUCCUCAGUAGCCUUGAACUUGAUAGUUUCCUCAGGUGCUGGUUCAUCUAUCAUAGUAGGUAGGUGCUCUCUUUGCGAGCCAUUAGUUUCAUCGAACCACACAUCUACAGUUUCAACAACUUUGUGAAUUACGUUGUUGAAGACUCUGUAGGUGUGCGAGUCCUUUCUGUAACCAAGCAUAAAACCUUCAUGUGCUUUCGGUGCAAAUUUUGAGUUGUGAUGAGGAUCUCUAAUCCAACAUUUAGCACUGAAGACUUUGAAAUAACUUACAUUGGGUUUCUUAUCAGUGAGGAGUUCAUAGGAAGUCUUUUUGAGGAAUUUGUGAAGAUAUACUAUGUUGAUGAUGUGGCACGCAAUAUCAAUUGCCUCAGUCCAGAAACGACGAGGCGUUUUGUAUUCAUCAAGAAUAGUGCAAGCCAUCUCAGCAAAAGUCCUGUUCUUGCGCUCCACGACGCCAUUCUGCUGAGGAGUGUAGGGAGCAGAUAACUCAUGAGUAAUACCAAGUUCAUCAAGAUAGUCGUCGAGACCAGAAUUCUUGAACUCAGUGCCAUUGUCACUUCUGAUGUGCUUGAUCUUCACACCAAAGUUGGUUGAAGCCCUCGAGGAAAAUCGUUUGAAGACUUCCUGCACUUCAUGUUUGUAAGUAACAAGGUGUACCCAUGUAUAGCGAGAAUAAUCAUCAACAAUAACAAAGCCAUAUUGAGAUGCUUCAUUUGAAAUAGCGGAAUAAUGAUUAGGACCAAAGAGAUCCAUGUGAAGCAAUUCAAACGGGCGAGUGGUGGUCAUGAUAGUCUUUGUUGGAUGCUUGGCCUUCGUCAUCUUCCCAGCUUCACAGGCUCCGCAUAGGUGAUCCUUGAGGAAUUUGACAUUCUCGAUGCCAAUGACAUGCUUCUUCCUCGCAAGUGUGUGCAAAUUCCUCAUGCCUGCAUGACCAAGUCGUCGAUGCCAGAGCCAGCCUUCUGAAGCUUUUGCAAGUAAGCACACGGCUGGUUGUGGUCCUAUAGAGAAAUCAACAAUAUACAUGUCUCCUCUCCUAAAGCCUUCGAAGACUUUGGAAUUGUCAGCUUCCAUAAACACACAUAAUGGUACUUGCCAAAGACAACAACCAUAUCAAGAUCACAAAGCAUUGAGACAGACAUAAGGUUGUAUCCUAAGGACUCAACAAGCAUGACUUUGUCCAUGUGUCGAUCCUUUGUAAUUGCAACCUUACCUAGACCCAAUACCUAACUUUUGCCUUUGUCAGCAAAGAUGAUAUACUUCAGAUGUGACGGAGAUAAUGGAGCAUCCAUCAAUAGAUUCUUGUCACCAGUCAUGUGGUUUGUACAUCCACUAUCGAGGACCCACUCAGUGGCUUUGGGUUGAUCAUCCUGUAGAUGAAUUAGUGCACCUUACAAACUCAUAUACUUCAUCGGUAAAGAAUAUGACAUCAAUUCAUCAGAUCAAUUUCAUCAAGUAAUAGAACUGAUAAAGCAAUAUGAGGACGUGAGAAAUGAAGGUUCAUUUCUUCAUGAUUAGCCUGCGUCCUAUCAGGCAUGCUCAGGUCUCCAGCAAAUUCUUCAGACGAUUACAUGCGUCUGGAGACCUGACCCUGCAGAAGAGAUUAGUUCUUUUUCUUCACCACCCACAUCCGAAGGGGUGGCAAAGAGUUCAUCAUUCUGCGAGCUCCAUACGAAAAGGAUGGCAUAGAAGCCAGUCCAUUUCAUUUCACAUAAGAGGGGUUAGAGUAAGCAUAAGAGUAUGCAGAGAAAUUCUUCGAGGACUUAUGGACAUAAUGAUUUGAAGAAUAAUGCACAUAUCCAUAAUCCUUAGAUCUUCCCUGCGAAAUAGACGGGUUAGCACGAUGAUGUUCAUAUGAGGACUUUGAUCCUUUUGAGGAAUUUGAUCCAUGUGAGGAGUUUGGUCCGUAUGAGGACUUGGAUCCAUAUGAAGAAUUUGAUCUGGGGUUCCUAUUCUUCACAGCUGGUGUCAUGAUGACAUUCACCUGAAGAUUUUCAAGACAUCUUUUGGGAACCUAGAUUUUCUUCAUAGGGGAGCCGUUCCUGCAGUUAGUGCCAACAUAUCUAGCAAAUACUUCACCAUUCUAAUUUUUGAAUAGUUUAUAGUUGAAGUAAAUUGACUCAUCAUCAGAAUGAGGAGAUUCACAUGCAAAUCCAGAUAAGUUAGAUGGAUCAACUGGAGGUUCCUUUGCAGCAACCCAUGUGGUUUUGGGGUACUGCUCAGGCUUCCAAUAUGUACCAUCAGCAUUGAGUUUCCUCUCAAAGGUGAUACCCUCUUUCCUAGGGUUCCUGUUGAGGAUCUGCUUUUUAAGCACAUCAUAAAGAGCCUGAUGCCCUUUGAGGCUUUUGUACAUGCCUGUCGUGUACAAUUCCUUCAGCCCUGCAUCGUCGGUGAUACUAGCAAUGUCGUCAGAUGAGGAAUUAGUGAUAGCAGAGGCAUGUGAAGAAUUUGAAACAUUAGCAGCAUUUGAACAUUCAGGUGAAUAAUUAGCAGAUUCACGUUCAAUGCACUUCAAGCAUGGAGGGAAAAAUUCUUCCUGAGAAGCGUUGAUUUGUUGAGCAAGUAAUGAAUCGCGCUCCUUCUGAAGAUCUUCAUAACUCACUCUUAGCUUCUCAAGCUCUUGCUUUCUUUGAAGAAAUUCAUAAGAAAGCUUCUCAUGAUCGGAUAAGAGAGUGUUAUGUUGAUCUUGCAGGGUGUCAUACUUAGUAUGAAGUCUCUGAAGACUUUCAGCCAAAGCUUUUGACUGAUCCAUUUCCUCACCCAACAUAUCAUCGCUCUUGUUUAGCAUAUAGUGAGCUUUUUCCAAAGCUCUUUGUUAUUUAGUAGCAAGGGAAGCCAGUUUAACAUAGCUGGGUCCAAAUUCAUCACCAGAUUCAUCAUCACUGGACUCGGAUAGGUAGCAUUCAGUUACCUCAACAUCUUUUUCCAUAAGGCAUGAUGCAAAAGAUGAUGAUUCUAGUUCGAAUGCCAUCGUUUUAAGAGAUUCCUUGAAGUCCUCAAACCAAGGAUCAUGACAGGUUCGAUGACCUUCAUAGACCUCAAAGAGACGGUCCCAGAUGAGCUUCACAUGAUCGAGAUGCAUGGUAUUCCUGAACUGAUUUUGUCAUAGACUGGAGUAGAUGACAUCCUUCGCCAUGAGGUUGAGAAGAGUAUACUUGCGAAUGUCAUCAACAUCCACCAUCUUGCACAGAUCAGUCAGGCCAAUCUCAGUGACGGUCCACAACUCGCUGUUCAUCACCAUGAGGCGUUUCUUCAUCAUGCCCUUCCACUUGGGAUACUCGUGACCGUCAAAGAUGGGGCAUGUCACCUUCGUCAUACCUGCGGUCGACAUAACUAAAACUCCAGGCAGUUAAACCAAAAUCACACAGAACAAGGGAGUACCUCGCUCUGAUACCAAUUGAAAGUGCGUUAUAUCGACUAGAGGGGGGUGAAUAGGCGAUUUUUAUGAAAUUCUUCACUGAGGAAUUUGCCGGUGAGGAAAUUCCUUAGCGAAGAACUAAUAGCAGCGGAAUAAGUACUCAAAAGUAAACAUAACAGAAUACAAGCAUAGUCAUCAUGAUUAAAUGAAGACAGGCACAGAGUACAGGAAGCGUAAGCACAGGAUAACUCAGGAUGAAGACAAACAGACUGAAGAAACUGAACUGAGGAAAUUGAGAAAGUCUUCAGUCAAAGUCUUCAAACACAGAUAUGAACAAACACACAACACAGUUAUGAGGAAAUGAAAGAGUUGAGGGAAUAGAACCAGUAAGCUUGGUGAAGACAAUGAUUUGGUAGACCAGUUCCAACUGCUGUCUCAGUUGUACGUCUGGUUGGAGCGGCUGAGUAUUUAAACUCGAGGACACACAGUCCCGGACACCCAGUCAAGGACACUUAGUCCAAGACACCCAGUCCUCACCGUAUUCUCCUUGAACUAAGGUCUCACAGGCCUCGUCCAAUCACUCGUGGUAAGUCUUUAGGCGACUUCCAAACCUUCACAAACUUGGUCACCCGGCGAUCCACAAUUCCUCUUGGAUGCUCUAGACCAUGACGCCUAACCAUUUGGAAAAAGCACGGUCUUCGAAGGUAACAAGCGUCGGAUCCACUCAGGAUCAAUCUCUUUAGUGAUGCUCAAUCACUUGGGGUUUGUAGGUGUUUGGUUUUGGGUUUUUGGUUUUUCCUCACUUGAUGAUUUUCGCUCAAAGUCCUCAGAGGAUGGGUUGCUCUCAAAUGACAAGUGUCAGUUUCUCUCGGAGCAGCCAACCAGCUAGUGGUUGUAGGGGGCGGAUAUUUAUAGCCUAGGGAGCAGCCUGACAUGAUAAGACAUAAAUGCCCUUCAAUGAUAUGACCGUUAGGUGGAUAGAUAUUUUGGGACAGCUGGCGCAUAGCACAGCAACGGUCGGAAUUUUGAGUAGCAAAAUCCUCAGGGCUAUCAUGUUCCUCACUGUGUAGGCAAUCCGCACUGGCGAAUUCCUAACUCCUCAGUCAGGACAAAUUCCUCAGAGACCAGAAGAACUUCGCCUCUGUCACUGAAGAAAUUGCUGAACUGUAUGAGAUUUCCAAUGGCUUCACUCGAAGGGAUUGACAGGUGUAGGAUUUUGAGUUGAGCAUCACAUGGAAAUUUUUCCUUAGUAUUUCCUUGGCCCCCUUUAGCAGUACGGUGUUUCCUAUGACUCAAGAAGGAGAAAAACAAAACAAUGAAAACGAAAGUCUUCAAGCUUCAUAUUCCUCGCAUGAAUAUCAAGUCUUCACGGACACACCAAUUUCUUCACUUUCAAAGUCUUAAUGAAAGUCUUCAGAAAUACCAAAAUCUUCAGUCGAAGAUAUUCAUUUUUAGGGGUCGACUUUUCCUGUAAAUAUCAAACUCCUCAUAGACUUAUAGACAUGUGUACACUCACAAACGCAUUAGUCCCUUAACCUAUAAGUAUUCAAUACACCAAAAUCACUAAGGGGCACUAGAUGCACUUACAGAUACAGAGAUGGAGAUGCUAGCUAGAGGGACAUCCGCUAGUUUGGGUGUUGGAGAUGACCGUCGGGUGGUUCAAAGGGUGAAGUUAUAUAUGUGUGUGUGAGAGGGUACUUGACUGCAUGUAGAGAGAAACAUAUGUAGUGUGCGUGAUAGGAAUCAAGAGUGAGGGCGAGAAAGAAGGUCGAUGGAGAAACAUAUAAAUAGAAAGAUAAAGAUGCUAGCUAGUGUGCGUUAGAGAUAGGAGUCGAAUGGAUCAGAAGGCUGGGUUAUGUGUGUGGGUGUGAGAGAGAUAGAGAGAGGGUGCGUGUGAGUCACAUGCAAACAGAUAUCAGAGAGAAAUGAUAUCCAGAGAGACGGAGUUUUGUGUCUGUGAGAGAGAAAGAUAUUUCACAACGAGAGUGAUAGCUAGAGAGACAUACGAGGGAACGCAAGAUAUCUCUAGGGAGAGAGGGUGUGUGUGAGAUACAUACAAGAGAACAAUGGAGAAAUAUGAGACCCUGGGAGACAGAGUUUGUGUUUGUGUGUGAGAAAGAGAUAUUGAAGAGGAAGAGUCGUAGGUUCUCAUAUCUAAGGAGCGAAAGACAUCUCUGUAUGAGGGGUGUGCGAGUGGCACACAUGGGAAUAGUAAAGAGAAAUGAGACCGCGGGAGACAAAGUUUUGUGUUUGUCUGAGAGAAAGAGAUUCCACAUGGAGAAUCAUAGUGAGAGACACAUAGCAGGGAGCGAGAUAUACUUAGAGAGAGAUAGAGUGAUGAAGGUCAAGGGAGAGAGUACCGUCAGUGUGUUACGAAGAUAAAAGUUCAUUGUCGACAUACAGGUAGCACGAGAGAUACCUGAGAGAGGAUGGACGCGUAUAGGUCCAGAGAGAUAGUCCUAUAUAAGCAUGAGUGAUAGCUAUAUGAGACGAAUAUAUGGAUUAAAGGGGAUUCAAAUAUUUAAACCGAAGAUCACGACAUCGAUAAUAUCAUAACGCAAAUUGGUGUAUCAAACAUGCAUAUUCAUUUGAAUUUGGGCACACAUGUAAUGUUAUAUAGUUUAUCAAUAUUGGUGAUCCAUAGAUUCUUCAAUUACAAACAAUGCAUGGUUUAUAUGCAAUUAAUGUCUAAACGGGAUUACACUAUAUGUUGCGUGUGUGAAACACAUUAUACAUGUUUGAGAAGUAAAAAACCCGCAUGAAACACACAUUAAUUGGAGACAGUUAGCGAGGAAUGCAUACAUUGGAUUUCAACAUAAAGUGGUUUCAAAUAUUUGAAAAUCCAAAUUGAUGGAUACAACCUUAUGAAUCUGAGAUCAUGCCAUUUGUAAACCAUAUUUAUGUAUAAAUGGUGUUGUGAUUUUGGAAGUAUAUAUAAAAAAAUGAUGUAUAUAGAAUGUAAUUCCAAUUGAAAAUGGAUCCCGCCCGAAAAAAAUAGAAUACAAAUGGGAUUCGAAUUGAGUUGGCACGGUAAACGUGCACUCUGCAAAAUUUGAACGAAGCGGGGAAAGUCGCAGUAACCGCCUGAAACCAAAAUCUGCGAGAUGGAAAUGACUACUGCCUAUCCCUGCCACACAAAGCCUAUAUGCUGCUUUUCUAUAGGUUUCGAUAGGGGUAGGUUUGUAAUUUCACCCAAAUGUGAUGUAACCGCCUCUCACCCGGAUUCAUACACGGUGGGUGCCAAAACACAGUGUGUCCUCGGCCGAAAUCGACUCCCUCCCUGAUUCAUAUUCAUACACGGUGGGUGCCAAAAGCAAACUCUUGUCGGCAAAUAUUUGGUGUAUGCGAGAUUACCGUCCUAUCCCCAACCGACUAGUGUUGCUGUGAUGUAGUAGAAAUUUGAAACGGGGGAUAAGUUUGUAAAUUUCCUCGCAUUUGAGACAAGCGCGCCCUGAAUACAUGGUUCCCCCUUCCUCUCUACCUCACUUUUCCCCAUUCGUACUCCGUGGGCGCCAAAACACCCUCUCCACCCCACCCUCCUCCGUCCGCCGCCGUCCUCCACCCCAUCCACCGCCGUCCUCCUCCACCAUGCCGGAGCUGAUACCCUGACGCCGCCGUCCAUUACAAUAGAUCGACCACUCUCAUCCACGGCUCCGGAUCGGGAUCCUUGCAUCCCGUCCUCUCGCUUCAUCCCCGCCGUCGUCCACCUUGUCGGCGCCGCUCCUACGACCGUCUCGUCCACCAUGCCCCGCGCCACCGUCUACCCUCCUAGAUCUGCUUCCACGCCGCCGACCGCCAUCGCUACCGCAACAACAUCAAAUUCUCAGCAGAUGCGUACACGGUGCCGCACCAGAGGCAGUACUCUUUCGUAUCUAGUCAACUUAUUUAUCGCAACAAGAAAAUAGAUCACCACUGCUUUACUCUGAUUUCUUGUCUUGGUUGCGAAGUUGCCUUUGUCCGGUUUGCACCUUUAGAUCCGCCAUGGCACGCUCAACACCAUACUCACAAUGCUUAUGGUUUUCCCCUUUUAUAUUCCACACUAGUUAAAUCACAGUAAACUAAAUUUCAAAAUUGGGUUAGUCGAUUUUUCAGAGCUCGCCGGAGUUCGCCGGUGCGAUCGAAGGGGCUCGGGUGGUUGUGGGGCCUCGCCGAACAAAGAAAACUCGACACGGGUGGGGGUUGGGGUGGGGGUGGCGGAGGGGGCCGGUGGUCCGGCCGGCGGCCCGUGCGGUGUUCUGUAUUGGAAGAAUCAGAGACGAGGAAGAAGAAGGGUUAGGAGACGUAGGAUCUUCAUCCAACCGCCUGAAAUGGUCGAGAGACAGCUAGGAGUUGCAUUCUUAAUGCGCUCUGGUUCAUCAUGUGUGGGCACUACGCAACCAACAUUUUAUUAUCCAAAAUCUGCUUGCUCCUCUUUACCAUGUUCCUCUUCCAUUUUUCUUUAAUAUGUACUCUCUCCGUUCCUAAAUACAAGUCUUUGUAUAGAUUCCAUCAUGGACUACAUAUGGAGCAAAAUGAGUGAAUCUACACUCUAAAAUGUACCUAGAUACAUCUGUAUGUGAUCCAUAGUGGAAAUCUCUACCAAGACUUAUAUUUUGGAACGGAGGGAGUAUGAUAGUAGUACAUUAUGUUCCUUAUACUGAAGAUGAGCAGGGACAUUUGCAGUGUAGAGGUCUAUACGGUCAGUUGUGAUGGGCACUUUGAGCAUCUUUGAUUCGUAGGAUCAUGUAAACAUAGGAAUAGGAUUUGUAGUGGCCUGCCCACUUGAAUCCUAUAAGAAUAGCAAGGAAAUGCGGGGAGCUGUGUCGCCUUUGAGAGUUACAUUGAUAUUAACAGUAUGGCACCUUCACUUGAAGAGAGCUGGUAUCCAAAGCCUUUCUAGCCGUACCGGCAAUACUAGCACAUAUAUUCCAGCAAGUUCCACUUUGUUGAUUUUACUCUGAUGCUUAAGGUUUUCCCGUUAAAUCUACACUAUGAUCUGUGUAGCUGCUUUGUGUCGCACUAGUAGCAGUCGACUCUUGAAGCUAAACACUGCAAUGACUUACAAAAUUGGCACCAAGGCAUUGAGCGCCAUUCUGGAUGCAAUGAAACUCAUAUGCUCCCCACCUGUUGAUUCUUGUUCAGAAUAUGAUCCUAAUGACUAUUCUAACCUCGAGGAGUCAAAGGCAGAUGGCCUGUCCUGUUCACCCAUCAAGGUGCCUGUUCUAAUUUGGCAAUGUUUUAUUGAUUGCGGGUAUCUUGCAUAUGUUGUCUUGCAUUUCUUCUACUUUGUUGCACCGCCAUCUGCUUAGUUUACUCAUCAUAUAUGUUGAGAUGCCAUGCCCAUCCAUUAUCAAUACAUAUUCCAUCUGUCAUCAUACCAUGUUUUUCCACUCAAAUGCUGUUCUUGUGCAUCAGACAUCAAAAAGGAAGAGGGUGAUUGCCGAACCUGAAGGAGCACCAGCAAAGUCCUUGAAAAACGUGGUGGUGCCGGAGAAAUCAGACAGUACCCCACUUAUAUUGGUUGUACAACCAGUGACACAAAACAUAGGACCGACUCCAGCAGACUGUACCCAUACUUCACUGGACACACCACUAGCCCCACCACACAGGACCUGCACUCCAGCAAAAGGUAUACCAAUUUCAUUUGCCAUAGCACUAGCUGUAGCAUAGAAAAAUCCCACUCCAGCAAAAAGUAAAGCAAGUCCACUGGCCGAAGACCUAUCCCAACUACAGAGACGGCCAAUUCCUGCAGAUUGGAACCGCAUUCCAUUUAUUCCCAGUUUAAAAGACAAUGAUUUCAAUGUUGUUAGGGACUACGUGCAUAUAUUCCCAUCAUGGGAAGAUUAUUGUGAAGACAAACACCAUUUUCACAUCUUCCUGUCCAACUUACGUGUAAGUGCUAUUAUUCAUGGUUAUUGUUUUCCUGUUUUCUGCUGAUUGAACACAUGAAUGAUUUACAUCACAUUGUUGUAACUAGGCAAGGGUCAGUCUGGAUAGUCAUGACGAUCAAAGCUUGCUUGUGCUUUUCAAGGCAACAUUGCAGCAGUAGCGGUGUUACCUGAGGAAAUCACACUUUGAUGGCAAGUCUAUAAACGAAUUUCCGGUGAAGUCUCCUGUGCUAAAUUUAGAAGACAUUGAAUGGAAAAACCUUUUUAUGCACUAGUCUUGUUCCCAGGAUGAGGUAUUGUCUAUGAAAUCACAUGACAAUUUGAACUUCUACUUUUCCGCAUGUGCCUUAUGGAUCUUUUUUGCAGGAAAUCUGCUCAAAGAAGAAUUUCGGUUUGACAAGAACAACGGGAUAUUGCAAAUAUGCUGCCCACUGCUUUGCUCUUGUUAGUACCUGUUGUCCUGUAUCACUGUACUUGCAUACAUAGCUGGUUCAUUAUGUGACAACAGUAUGCAUGAUAGCUUGCUUAUCAAUUGUUUGCUCCAAAUUAUCUGAUUUGUAUGAAUAGUUACAUUAGUGUAGAAUAUAUCCAAUGCCAAUGUUUUUUUAGCUCUCCAUUGUUCUUGUAAGUACAUGUUGUCCUUUAUCAGUGUACUUAUAAUGACAGGUAGUUGUUCAUGUACCAUCACUCUGCAACUUAUUUUCCGUUGCCCUCCAUUUUCUACACAUCAGAUCUAUAUUUACUCUUACCAUAAGGUUGGUACUGAAGAAGUUUAACUGUGCAUUGCUCUUGGUUGUACCUUUUGCCCGUAUCGCUGCACUUACAUUUAUAGCUACUUGGUUAUGUAGCAUCGCUCUUCAUCUUAUCUUAAAUAUUCUCCAUUUUUUCAUAUAUUAUCACAUCUAUAUUUACUCUUAACAAAAUGUAGAAUAAAGGCAAUGCUUUUGAAGAAGAUUCUGUGGUAAACUUCUUGAAUUGCCCCCCCCCCAUCAGCAUGGACAAGGCCUUUAUAGAGCCUCUCUUCACCAAUAAUGUAAGUUUGUCCAUCUCAAGCCUUCAAACUUUGUUGUAUAUAUUUGGUUAGGCAUGACUGCAACAGCUGUUUAUUUUUGGUGUUUGCAUCAAAUUGCUUGUUUAAAGUUUAUUAUGUAGUUCAUAAACAAAAGUUUGUCCUUUCUCAAUUUAAGUUUUUAGUUGUACAACCAACUUCCUUCUUCAUACCAUGUAAAUUAAACUAUACAAAGCAAGUGAUCUUCUUUUGCACUUCAUGUAUGCUUCUGUUCUUCAUCCGUAAUCCAGUGGUGUGGUGAACCGACCCACUACAGCACAAUGUCAUAUUCUGCAAUGUCUUACCUAUGAACAAUGUCAUAUCAUUCUACUAUUAUUUAAACUGUCUCUUUAUUUGCCAAUCUGAAAUGGUAUAAAUUGACAGCACACUAACCAUUGAUACUUAUGAGUUCUUGAUCUGUAAUCCAGUGGUGUCGUGAAGCUGCCAACUCCUUCACAAUGUUAUUUCCUGCCAUGUCUUGACCUGAACAAUACCAUAUUGUGUUAAUGCAAAUUUAAAAUGUGUCACUUUAUUCGCCGGUAAGAAAUGUGAUGAAUUGUCAGCACUGAUACUUUUAUGUGCAAAACCUUUCAUCUGUCUACUUGUUUAUCUUUCAGAGUGAGGAAGAUAUAAGUGUUGAACAUGCGCAGUCUCAUCAUCUUGCUCAGCUGCUUGCGCUGCAGCUCCCCAGCAGGGCUAACCUUUCUUGAACUCUAUUGAAGUGCUGUCGGUUUUGUAUAUUAUUUUGUCGGCGUGUUUAUUUGCACUGGUGGCGAUCUAUGAGCCCAGUGUAUGUAAUCUGCUGUCUGCUUGUGCUUUAUUAUCAUAGUGGCAAACUUUGAUGCCCGUGGAUGUAAUAUGAUGUAAUUUCUUUAUUGUAUAGUAUAGGUUUUUUCUUAUUCACAAUGCUGUAGUUAUUUUACUGUAUAUAUAUCCUGUCUUUGCAGUAAACCGGCCAAACCGUAAAAUUACGGUACAUAAUCGGGCCGUCAUGCAAUCACGAUGUAGGUUGGGCCUGAAACGUGCCGAUCAGCUCACGGGCCGGCAGCAUCCCGAAAUGAACCCCGGCCCAUGAUUGUGCGAAUCAAAUCAUGGGCUUUUAACAGGCCGAAAAAUUGUCUCGGUCCUUAUUUGGCCCAAUCAGAUAUCGGCUGCGAGCAGGCCGGAUGCAAACCGGGCCGUAGUUAGGCCCAACUAUAUGACGGGCUUUUAACAGGCUAAAAUUAAUAUAGGGCCGAAAUGUUAAACGGGCCCUUAACAGGACAAAACUAAUAUCAGGCCAAAUUACUAAGUGGGCCUUUAGCAAGUGGGCCCAAAAGCAUAGUGUCCAAUUGACAGGCAGAAUCUGAUCUGGGCCAUAAUUAGGCCCAAAACCUCUUAAAGGGCCAGACCUGAUCUGGGCCGUAAUUUGGCCCAGAACGUGGUAGGCUUUUAAUGGGUCGGAUCUCAUAUGGGCCACUAUUAGGCCCGGAGCAUGGCAGGCCAUUAAUAGACUGGAUCAAAUAUGGGCCGGCAUUUGGCCCAAAACAUGGCAGCCAAUUAACAGGCCGGCCUACUAGGGUCCUCAAAAUCUUGUGGGCCUACAGCUGGGCCGGCCCAUUAAUGUCAGCGAAAUCUCAUGGGCCUUUAGCUGGGCCGGCCCAUUAUGAUCCGCAAGAAUUUUGUGGGCCUUUACCUGGGCCGGCCUAUUAUGGCAGACGAAAAUCUUGUGGCCCUUUACCUGGGCCGACCCAUUAUGGCCCACGAAAUCUUGUGGGCCUUUAGCUGGGCCAGCCCAAUAUGGUCCGCAAAAUCUCGUGGGCCUUUAGCUGGGCCGGCCCAUUAUGGUCCGCAAAAUCCUGUGGGCCUUUAGUUGGGCCGGCCCAUUUAAACUUGUUGGGUCGUGCCACGUGUCGAUGUAUCAUAGGCGCCUUCUAUCCAGUGAGUGGAUGACAUCUGUCCAGAAGAUGAGCCGACACGUGUUUCCUCUAGCCAAUGAUGAUUUUACACGUGGAAAAUCCCCAUUGGUCGGGGCUGUUAACGGGUUAUCGGAUCCAAAACCCGACCCAAUAGCUUAACGUUGUUCUGUUAUGGUGGAUGCCACGUGUCAGUCACCCUUGAUGAAAGCACUUCUGUGACACGUGAUUUAUCGUAAUGGAAGUGGACAUUUCCGUGAUGAUAAUUUUGGUAAUGUCAUGGAACACUUCUACGACAGCACAGGUAUGACUAUCUUGAUUCUGUCAUAAAUUUGUCAUGGAUGUACAUGCAUGACAAAAAAAGCGACCUACUGUGACAAACACGUAUCAUCACGAAAGUGUAUUUUUUUGUAGUGCCAUCUUAUGCAUGUGAAGCCUCCACAUUCUAGAAUUUCAUCAUUCUUCGUUUUCUUUUCUUCUCUGGUGGUUUCAAUUCAAGCUUUAUUGAUCAUAUCCUUUUCCUCAUUUCAAAUGUUUUCCCAUGCCGUUGCACCUCUUAAUCUUUCACCUCUCGCUAUUCAUUUGUUCUGGAGUGCUCAAGAUAUCUUGAAGAUUCAUGUUUCCACUCUGCAUUCAUUCAAGCUCUUUUGAGGAUGUUAUCUCAUACAAGCUAUUUAAUUCAACCGGUGCAAUCUCUCUUCAAAUCAUUUCAAUGGUGUUUAUCUUGAGUGGGCCCUAACCCACAGGUCUUUUCCCAUGAUUUUACCUGACUCUUCUAAUUAUCCCGGAGCAAUUAUCAAAUCUUUUAAAGUUUGACGUAAGAAUGAGUUAUCAUCAGUCAGAUGUCUUUCUCCAAGAUCUUUCAUCGUUGGGUCAACCUUUCUAUUAUUCAUCCCAGAGUAUCUCAACAAUUCAUGGUGGUGUUUCUCGUCGUCAUUCUCAACAUUUGAAGACCGAAGAAGAGUUUUUGCUCCAUUUCUUGCUCCAUCCUCUUCAAGAUUCUUGAUUCUAGAUUCAUGAUAUCCUCUCAUAAUUGUAUUAGUUUGUGAGAUUCUUUUCACCCACCCGGAGCAAUUCAGAAGUCUUUUUUGUUUGAUUCUCCGAAGCCCUUCAUCUCAGAAUUAUUCAUUCUCAGCUUUCAGCUCUCAUUCUCUAAAUCUUACCGGUGCAUCGUUCAAGUGUUCUCUUAUCAGCUCGUCAUCUCUUCGUUCUCAUGUAUCUAAGUUCUCUCAAGCAUCUUCAUUUAUUUUCUAAUCCUUCCCGGUGUUUCUUCAUCAUUCAUUCGUUGUUUCAAUCCUACCGGUAUUUCAUUGAAGACCUUAUCAAGUUAUCAAUUUCUGUCUUAAUCCUUUCUACCAGAAUAAGUUGUAUGCAAUCCGUUGAUUGUCAUCAAUUUAAAUUGGUGAAGGAUACACAUAAUGUAAUUCUUAUUCUUGUUUCACCCAAAUGAUUAAUUCCUUAUUCCGGAGGCUCAUCAAAUUCUCGAUUUCAGUUGUUCAUCUUUCUUUUCUGGAGCUCCAGUUUAUCCGCUUUAUCUCGCCGCGAAGAUCCAUCCAAUCAUCCUUUAUUACCAGAGUUCUUCAUGGGGGCUCUACAUGAUGGUUCAUAAAGGAUUCCUUCUCGAAGCGUUCAUCAAGAUUCUUUUCAGAGGAGCUCAAGCAUUCUUCAUGUUGCAUUCCGAAGUGCAAUUCUUUCAUAUCUCAUCUUUUGAGGUGGUGUUAUGUCAUUGUUGAUAAUUUCCCUUCGUGUUUCAUGAUUCACAAGUUUUCAAGAGUGACAUAUAUGAAUCCAUCAUUUUCUCUUCGCUCAAGACAUCUUUUCAUACAAUCAAUCUCUUCAUUGGAGUUAGACUAGGUUAUAUUUCACCUAAAGCUUUCCCUAAGGAUUGUUGCUAUUUAUGGUGAUUAUAAAUGAUCCAAGUUCUUCAUGUAUCCUCCCGGUGAAAUAAGUUUCUCGUCUCCUUGUUGAUAUCAAUCCAAUCUAUUAUUUCCGUUAGUGCCAGAAUUUCACCUCAUAAUUUUGGGAUGUUUUCCAUAAGCCUACAACAAGCUUACUCUUCUCGUUGUUGGUUUUCCAACAACUCCGUUCGACCCUUCUCCUAAAGAGGCUUUUUCAAGCUCAUUUGAGGUAGAAGUUGUCAUUUUCUUCUCCGUUCUUUUGUUCCGACCAUCUUCCUUCUAUUCCUUCAACCAGAGGCAUCAUGAUGUUGCUCCUUUCUCUCAUCAUCUCGAAUGGUGAGGAUCAUGUUCUUUUCGUGCUUAUCCAUUUAACCGGAGUGUCGAGCCCUCUUUUUAAGUUCUUCCCUUUCUAUCAAGUUUUGCCUCUCUCAAACGUAGUGUUGUCUGAUUUCUUACCCCCCGUGUGCCAUUCUUUCAAGAGUUUCAGAGGUAUUGUGUUGUGAUUUCAUCAAGUAUACUCUCAUCUUGUCAAGUUCAUGUUCAUUUCCUUCCUUUUACAGUCGGAGUGCUGUCCAAAUUAUAUCAUUCUUUUUCCUCCUCUAUCUUGUUUUAACCAGAGUGUUGUGGAUACCAUUCCUCUUCUAACCGGAGUCUCGUCCAAGUGCUUUCAUUUUGCCAAGUUCAUAUGCUAAGCCUUCCUUUUCCAAACAGAGUUUGAUGUAUUUGGUCUUUAUCGUUCCUUGUACAUCUCGUCUCAACCGGAGUGCUUGCAUGUAGUUCUUGUCCAUUGUAACCUUUUUCUUAUGUUUUCUAACCUACAAGGUUCUAGUAAUGUUCCUUGUUCCUCUGUUCCAACGGAGUGUUUUCAACUGCGUUCAUCUUUGUUGUAUUCUUUCUUUCAAUUUGUUCAACCUUCGCAAGGUUCUUUGGUUUCAUUUGUUUUUCCAAGAAGCAACUUAGUUUUACCUCUACUCUUCCUCUUCCGUUUCUCUCCGGUGCCAUCCUAGAUCUCGGGACGAGAUCCUCUUGUAGUGGUGGAGUGUUGUAAUGCCCCGAGACCAUUGCACCAGAUGCCUUCCAGUUAUUCGUUGUUCUUGCCUUGUCUUAUUGCAUUAGUGCUUGUGUCUGUUUUGCACUCUCAUAAUCAUCAUGUGGAUUGUCAUAUUCAUGCAUGUUGUAUUGUUGCAUGCUCCAUGUGUGGUUCUUGCACCAUCACUCCUCCUUCCUUCCCUUUCUUCCAUUUCUGCAAGUGCCACUUUCCCUUCUCUUUUGUUGUUCAUCUUUUGCCCAAUUUUCUAACACCAUGUACCUAGCCUCUGUGCCAAAUUUCAUCUCAAUUGGAAUUGUUUUGGUUAGGGUUUAGAAUGGUUCAAGUUUGAAUUUAUUUCAAGCUUGAAUUAUUUUUACUUCCUUUAAAAAUCUCCAAACCAAUUUUAUUAAAUAGGGCACAUUUUCAGAAUCAUGGGAAUAUUUUUAUAUUUCUCUAGCUCCUCUAUUUUUUCCCUGCUCUUUCCUUUUUGUAUUUCUGUCUAAAGAAAUGGAAAGGAAAGAAAGCAGCAUCAGAAGUGCAACCCAGCAGCGCUCGCCUACCUGGGCCUCGGCCUCCCAGGCUGGCCCAGCUAACCCCGCGCGCCAGCAGGCCAAGCGCACCAGCCAGCCUGCUCAGCCACCCGCGCCCUCUCCCUCUCAUGUUUUUCUCACCCACGCCUGAGCCUACCCCCCCCCCUCCCCACUCGCCUCGUUGCGGCGUAGCCACGUGGUUAGGCCGGCCCCAUAUGUCAACCUCUGGCUACAGUGCACCCGCCCCUUACCUUUUCAUCGACCUCCAGCCCUGCCGUGCACAUGGCCACGUCGUGGUCACGUGAGCGCGCACAGCCUCAUCCCUACCCUUAUCCGCAGCCCAUCCGCGCCAGCUGCAAGCCACCCACUCCCUCUCGCUUUCCCCUCUCUCAAGAAACCCUAGGGGCGCUUCUAGAUCGAGAACCAGCCCCCACGCCGAGGUCAUCGGAGGACCAGCCAUGUCGCCGCCGUGAACCCCUUCGCCUUCUUCCUCGCCAACCGUGUCCAGCCAGUUUGUCGACGUCCUAUUCGCCCACUGCUUCCCCUGCAUCGCCUAAGGAGUCGCCAAGCCCCACGCCUGGUGUCCUCCCCUGCUUACUUCUUCCUCGGACAGGAACUACGUCGAGUUCAGAGCACGACUGCGUCGCCGCUGGUUCGUCUCCGUCUCCGUCACCGUGUCCUAGGGUGAGUUAGGUAUACCUGCUUCCCUCCCUCUUCUUCCUGCCAAGUUUAGGUCACCGGAGUCACCACUAGAUCCAUGCCAUUGUCGUGCCCUCGCUGCUCCGGCAGAUCUCUGAAACUUUCAGAAAAACGCGGUCGUGCCCCGUCCGGAUCUUGUCUCCCGCUCGCCCUGCUCGGGCCCCUGCUUCGAUUCACCUUGCCGCCUUGAUGCAUCCUUGCCUCAAGUGUUCGCGCAUGCGCACGCAACCGCAGCUCCACGCGCUCAUGCACACAGCCAACGCCUCGUUACCGCGGCCGAGACGAGCUCCUGUUCGAGCUCAUUCUCGAAGCCCUUGUUCUGUGGCUCGCGCACGCGCACGACAACGGCUAGUAGCAGCCGUUUCGUUCCCGCGCCCUUGCAGUAUCACCCUUCCCCUGUUCCGCAACCCCGCUGUCGCAUCCAGAGCCCUGCUCCUCCAUCGUUGCUCGCCGGCGUCAUCGCCUUCUUCUCUGGCAACGGAGAGGAAGCCAGCUUCCGCUUUGUAAUGGUUCUAAAGGAACGCUGCCUCCCCUGUUUCAAACACUGAGACCUAGCCCGGUGGUUCGACCCUCUCCCGCUUAACCCGUAGACCCGGGUUCGAACCCCCUCAGGAGCAUAUUUAGAGCCCCAAUUUCUUUUGCCUAUGUCCCCUCUAUGAUAGUGGGACCCCACUCGUCAUCCUCUCUGUCUCACACCCACUCAGCCGCUUGGGCCAAAUCUUUCUGGGCCGCUGCACUCUAAUGCUUCGGGCCCAUGCAUGUUUUUUUUCUGCCUGUGGAUUCAUUUAAAUUUCCAGUGCAUGCAUAUUUAUAGCUAAUGCCAUCAUAUUAAAAUGCUCAUAACUAAAUAACCAUGCAUCCUAUGUAAAUAAGUUAUAAAUGAAACAUGCUUAGAAAUUCAUCUAGUUUCAUAAUAUAUCACUUUCACCCAUGUUUAAAAUGUUUAAAUGUGUUGUUUGUUUAAUUUGCAUAAAUGCCAUGCUAAAAUGCUUUAAUUCAUAACUAAAUAACCAUAGCUCCGAACCUAACAAACUUUAUAUGUAAAUGGGGAAGAAAAAUGCCUAGUUUAACAUGGUGUACUUACUUUGCUUGUUUGAUAACUCUAAAAUUGUGUUUAGGGCAGAAAAGUACCAAACCUUAAAAUAUUCAUAUGGGGUUUUACCAGAAUUUGUUGUUCGUUGUUUCCGGCCUCAUUUAAACUUGCCUAGAUAUGUAGUUUUCUUUUGCUUCACCUGUUGCCAUGUUAAUCAACAUUUAAUAUUGUUGGGUACAUAAACGAGAUCAAACUAAAUAACUUGAAUGUGGUGUUCCAUCAAUAUGCAACUCGUUGCAUAUUGAGCUCCACUUAAUUUGUAGCGUUGUUUGUGCACUUUGCCAUGCCAUGCAUAUUUAAACCGGACAUGCAUCAUACUCGAUUGUGCAUCAUGCCAUGUUCAUGUGUUGGUUGUUUACUAUGUUGUGUGCUUCUUUCAGGUGUUGCUUCUUCGGGUUGGUUCCGAUAACGUCGCGUUUGUGAGGAUUUCUUCAACUUCGUCCGCUUGUAUUCUUCAUGGACUCGUUCUUGUUCCUUGCGGGAUCACAGGCAAGAUGACCAUACCCUCGAAAUCACUUCUACCUUUGCUUGCUAGUUGCUCGAUCUAUUGCUAUGCCGCGAUACCUACCACCUGCUUUAGCAUGCCUCCCAUUUUGCCAUGUCAUGCCUCUAACCCACCUUCCUAGCAAAGCGUUGUUUGGCUAUGUUACCGCUUUUGCUCAACCCCUCUUAUAGCGUUGUUAGUUGCAGGUGAAGAUGAAGUUUGUUCCUUGUUGGAACAUGGAUAUUUGAUUGGAUAUCAUUAUUAUAUCUUGUUUACUUUAAUGCACCUAUAUACUUGGUAAAGGGUGGAAGGCUCGGCCUUAUGCCUGGUGUUUUGUUCCACUCUUGCCGCCCUAGUUUCUGUCAUAUCGGUGUUAUGUUCCUUGAUUUUGCGUUCCUUACGCGGUCGGGUUAUAAUGGGAACCCCUUGACAAUUCGCCUUGAAUAAAACUCCUCCAGCAAGGCCCAACCUUGGUUUUACCGUUUGCACUAACAACCUAUCACCUUCCCUUAGGUUAUGCAGACUCAAGGGUCAUCUUUAUUUCAACACCCCCCCGGGCCAGUGAUUCUCUAAGUGUUGGUCCGAACUAGAGCCCCUUGCAGCGCCACCUCGGGGAAACUUGAGGGUUGGUUUUAGUUGUACGGACUGCUCAUCCGGUGUUGCCCUGAGAACGAGAUAUGUGCAGCUCCUAUCAGGAUGUCGGUGCAUCGGGCGCCUUUGCUGGUCUUCUUUUACCAUUGUCGAGAUGUCUUGUAACUGGGAUUCCGAGUCUGAUCGGGUCUUCCUAGGAGAAGGAAUAUCCUUCGUUGACCAUGAGAGCUUGUGACGGGCUAAGUUGGGACACCCCUACAGGGUUUGAACUUUCAAAAGUCGUGCCCGCAAUUAUGGGCAGAUGGGAAUUUGUUAAUAUCCGAUUGUAGAGAACUUGACACUUAACAUAAUUAAAAUGCAUCAACCGCGUGUCUAGCCGUGAUGGUCUCUUUUCGGAGGAGUCCGGGAAGUGAGCACGGUUCUUGUGUUAUGCUUGAACGUAAGUAGUUUUAGGAUCACUUCUUGAUCACUUCUAGUUCACGACCUGCCUUGCCUUUCUCUUCCCGCUCUCUUUUGCGUAAGUUAGCCACCAUAUAUGCUAGUGCUUGCUGCAGCUCCACCUCACUACCUUUUCCUACCCAUAAGCUUAAAUAUUCUUGAUCGCGAGGGUGUGAGAUUGCUGAGUCCCGGUGACUCACAGAUUACUUCCAAAACUAGUUUGCAGGUGCCGAUGAUACCGUGUAGGUGAUGCAACCGAGCUCAAGGAGGAGCUCGAUGAAGAUCAUGUUCUUUGUGUUGUUUCGUUUCCAGUUGAUCAGUAGUGGAGCCCUGUCGGGGCGAUCGGGGAUCUAGCAUUAGGGGUGGUCUUCUUUUCUUUUGGUUCCGUAGUCGGACCGUGAUUGUAUUCUGGAUGUUGUAAUGCUAUAUUUAUGUAUUGUGUGAAGUGGCGAUUGUAAGCCAACUCUUUAUCCCUUGCUUAUUCAGUACAUGGGAUGUGUAAAGAUUACCCCUCUUGCGACAUACCUACAAUGCGGUUAUGCCUCUAAGUCGUGCUCCGACACGUGGGAGAUAUAGCCGCAUCGUGG